rnacentral:lncRNA from 1 species
UAGAAGGUACCUGUGGACCCAAUUGGGUUAAGGGCCUUUGAAAUUGAAAUGAAAAAAAAAAAAAAAAAAUAGAUAAGCAAAUCUAUGGCGCAUUGCGGGGAAGAUGUUUGUGAAAACGCCAGGCCACUGGUAAUCGCUUGUCGGUGAGGGAUAAAGCUCAGUACCAACCAAUCAAGAAAAUAGAACAUCAUUUAAGAUUUCACGUGCUUGUUUUUGUACUUGAAAGAAGCACAUUCACCCUUUACCAAGAAUUUGCGUUGCCUUGACCUGAGGAAGGGGCUACAAUUGCAAUGCAAGCCAAGUAACAUUCAAAUUAAGGAAAAGAAAAAGAGAUAAUCAAUUAAAAAAAAAAUUAGACUUCGUGAUCAAGUCAUGUGAUCUGCUUUGAUUGAUUUCAUGGACUAAAAAGUAAGCAAAGAACGGAAAGCUUUAGUUGACCUAACAAGAGCCAAGAAGGUAAUUAAAAUUAUAUCGGAUGGUAUGUUAUUGUAAAUGGUUGAAACUGCCUUAUCAUAUCAAAUUUUACAGCAAUUGAAUCGAAUUGAAUUAGACCUUUUUUUCAAAUUGAGGUGCUAUAAAUAUUAUAUGUAUAAUAUAUAUGGCAAUGGAAGUGAAGUGGAAACGGGGGAUUGGAGCAGCGCACGAGGUGGGGCCCACUGCUCGAAAAUGACAACGCCUCAGGGGUAUCAGUAUUAUACGUGAGGUUGCACUUGCACCCACUAGUAGCAAAGAUGGGUCACUCCCGUCGGGUCAUCAUUUUAUUGGCAAUUACAGUAAGAAGAAUCCCUUGGAAAUAUUUACUUAAUACGGGUUGUUUUUCUUCCCGUCUUUUUAAUUGUAUGUGUGUUCGUAAUGAACAAAACAGGAUUCAAACUUAGAUUCAUAAAUAAUGAUACAAUAAAAGCAAUAAAUGAUUCACGUUCUACUGCGAGAGAGAGAUUAAUUGACGACCCAUAAAUUCAAAAGCAACUGAUUAAUCAUAUAAUCAUAAGAGAAUUAACAUUGAACAUAGAGAGUAUAUAGCUUCAGUAUGGGAAGGGGAGGUAGGAACUCAACCGCUAAAGCUGAAUAGAGAGUAAUUGAAAGGAAGCACAUCGAUUGGAUACUAAUAAUCUAAUAAACUUGACCUUUUAAGCCUCGGAUGGUUCGUCCUUGACUUUGUCCUUGUCUUUGUCGUCGGCGGCAUCAUCAGAUUCAGAGGAAGCUUCGUUGCUUUGUUCAACGGCGUCGUCGGGAUCGCGAGCAGGAUCGGAUUUGUCCAUGGCGGCUCGAACCUUGUCGAGGAACGGCUUGAAAGCCAACUCAAUAGCCAGCCACCCAAACGCUAGAGCACCAACAACGGUCAACGCUUUCUUCAUCUUCUCCACACCCCUCCUUUCCUUAAACUGCGCUGCUUCUAUUUCUAUCUCUAUGCCACUAGUUAGCUAUCAAAUUUGUCUUCAUUUUCUAGGUCAAAUUACAACAAGGGUAUUUUAAUUUUGUCUUCGUUUUCUAGGUCAAAUUACAACAAGGGUAUUUUCCCCCCUUUCUUGCGUAUUUGGAAAGGAAGCAGUACACUAAUUCCCCCUCCCUCCGCCUCAGGUUUAAAAUUCGAAAAUUCGGUCCACCUUUAUUUGCCUUUGACCUGUAGCCCUAUUUUCCUCUUGGGCUCUGCUAAUUACGAUCAAAUUAUCAUUAAUUACCAGUGUUGUAUUAAAGGAUUUAGCUUUAGUGCUGCAUUGAAUUUUUUAUUAAUCUUGUAGAAAAAUACAAUUAAAAAUUUUUGAAUAAGAAAAUAAUAAAAUACAAUUAGUAAUUAUUAAAUGAAAAAAAUUAACAGCAUAUUACCGUACGUGCAAGUGUUAUAGAAGAUCAUAAAAAAUUGAACGCAACUCAACAUUUGGACCUAGAUCCUAAAUCCUAUAUUAAAAUAUAAGAAUUUCUGAACAUUUGAUUUACUUCUUCAAGCGAUAUACAGAGUAUUACUUAAUUGAUCAGAAUAAUCUCACAAAAUUAAAGACUACACGCAGACAUAAUAAAUACAGUCAGCUCAGUUCAAUUUUUCCAGUCAUGCAGAUCAUAGUAAAAUGCGUAGCCCACGCACUUAGAACAAAACAUUUAACAAAAAUCACAAUAACUUUCUAGACAUUUAUGAGUUAACUAAAUGAGCCGUGCCCAAUUUGUGUUGUAGUAUUUAAGUGCUCCGGUAAGGGAUAACAAUCCUUGGCAAAUGCCACACCGAAAGCUAUUUGCCUGUUAAGAUUUCCUCAAUAAGUAUUAAGAUCACACGCUAAUUAAUCAGAGUCUUUUUUUUUUUUUUUUUUUUUUUGGGUACCAUUAUAAGAAAGCAAAAACAAAGGAGUGAAGCUUCAAAUUCUAGAUCAAGUCACCCUGGUGGAACAAUAUUAAAAGAUAACAUCACUCCUUUCCAUGUCCCCACACACUCCUACAACAAAGAUGUUUACAUGACCAAGUGCUCCAAAAAUUAUAACCAGUGCAACAUAUCUAACGACCACGGCCACGCCCGCGACCACGUCCACGGCCCCGACCACGUCCCACCGGCCUCCCUGAAUUUGGAAAGAAUUAGAAAGAUUAAUAUCAUCAGGAAUCAUGAAAAGAAGCAUACACAAAAACAAUGAACACAUGAAUGAAGCUUAAUCUGAGAAAUUAUGUCAAUACCAGCAGUCGGCUUCUUUGGCUUGACCCUAGGUGUCUCUUCAACCAGCAAUGUUUCAAGAUUCAAGCUGUCAGGAAGGAUAUAAUAACGGAUAUUGUUACCCCUCACACUUAGGUGAUCCAAGUUCACUGGAUUUUUCCCCUUCAGCGUAAGUUUCACUGUUUUCAAAUGUGUGUUCAUACUGAUAUCCACACCUGUAAUGAAACAGUCAAAUCUCCAGUCAGAACAGUUUCACCAUCCAUCCCCGUGCACAGAGUUGAUAGUAUUUCACCAAGGAAAACUAUGCAAUACAACUCUGCUCUGGUUAUUAUGUCACUCAAAUAAGUGCUCAGAAAAUAUGAACAUUUACCACCAAAGAGAAAGUCCUAAAAGGAAAGAAGAGAAAAGAGGAGGGGGAGGGCUCAUGAAAAUAGUACGAGUAUGAAGGUUCAAGGUAAAUGCAGCAGCUGCGUGUGUGAUUCCAUGUCAUGGGGUUUUGCAAGUGUGCAAAGGACGCAUGUAGCACAUAGAGAAAGGAGGCCCCAUUCUGACAAAGGAAAAUUGUACGAUCAUUUUCUACAAGGGCAAGAACUAUGAGAAAAUCAAGAAGGAAACAGGUUACUCAGGUAAUAUGGCAUCAAGUGCUUAUGACAUUGUACAAACACUUCUCUACAAGGGCAAGAACUAUGAAAAAAUGGAGAGGGAAACAGGUCACUCCGGUAAUAUGGCAUCAAGUGCUUGUAAACAGUCAAAAAUGGCAAUCUUACAUUGGUGCUACACAUAAUCUUCAACUUCUAAUUUAAAAACAUAAAAUCUCCAAUUCAACCAAUCACUAUGUUUACCCUUUUAACUUCUUUUAUGAAAGAAGGUUUCCCCACCAAAGAAACAAGACAAAUCCCAGUUACAAAAGAGCAGCUUUGUCAACUUCUUCGAAGUUGAUUGACCGCAGGACAUGCGGCUUCCAUAAGAAAGCUAGUCAGUGGAGUUUUUACACUGAGCUAUAAAAUUUAAAAACUUUCACUUACCAAAAGCGAUUUCUCAGGAUUGUAAAUCCUAACUUAUUAAACAUCCUAACUACUUAAACCUUCCUUCAUCGAAUUAAGAUACCAUUGAUAGUUUAUAAUGUCUUAAGAACGACCUCGGAAGCAAUUUCCUUCCAUAAAGGGAAUGAGUCCACAGUUUCUCCAAUGUUCAAACUACACAGAGGAAUGACUAUAAAUAUCUCCGCUUUACAAACCAAAAACGGCAUAAGAUUUCAGAGUAACUUCUCUCACUAGCCUCAACUUGAAAAAAAGGGUAAGAAAACCUCUAAAUUUCUGUCAAGAGAGAAAGCAAGGCACAAAAUCCAUCAACUUGCUGUGAUAAAAACCUGUAGAUGGGUAUGGAUAACUAAGGCAGACAUACAUCUCUAACAUGAAAAAUUUAAACAUACAAAACUAAGCAGUUAAACAAGGUAUUAAUCCUAAUAUAUAGCAAAUUCCAAUGCUUCAAUCGAAGAAAAGACAAUAUACAUAUCCUAGAAUGGGAUAUCCUACUAUCAUCUAUACUAAUCCAUACUGUUUACACGAAAAAACAGACAAGAGCACUAGGUUCUAACUCAUACUAUUAUCUAUACUAAUUUAAGUCUUAUAGAAGAAUCAUGACUCGCAGUUUAUCAACUAAAUUCCAUACCACACUGGAAGCCAAUAAAGGGGAAAAAAAGUAAAAAAAACCCCCAAAAUUAAGUGGUAACUUCAACUCAAUUGUUCAUAAUCGAGGCACAACUAGUCUAGCAGUUAACAACUUGUAUUCUAAUCGGAAAUUAAGCAUAUAUGUAAAAGAAAUAAAAAAAAAAAGAAAAAUAAAAGGCUAGGGUUUAACAAAACCCUAGAUGUACUAAACCCUGAAAAAGGAAAAUGGAAAUGAAGCAAUAAUAAGUGAAGAGAAAGUAACCUGUGAUGGUUCCGUGAACAAUGGUUCCGUUCUUCAGUUCAAUCGACACGGUCUCAUUGUUCAGCUUCAUCAAGAACCUGUGUGAUUUCCGAUUUCAGUCACGAGCAAAAAUUUUUUUAAAAAAAAAAAAUAAGGCAAAUCACAACAGUAACAAUAAAAGGAGAAAGAGAAAUUUGUUGUGACCGACCUGACAAGCUUCAUUUUGGUGAGCAAGACGAAAGCUAGGGCUUUGAAGCAAAAGCGGAGAGAAGAAGAUUCUCUGCUACUAGGAAGCGGGAACGUUGUGCUGCACUUUGUGGAUCUGAUUUAGGGCUCGGGUGUGUAGUAAGGCCUUUUUAGCCUGUCAAAACGGCUCCGUUUAAGUCAGAGUCAAUUUGUCUUUAUUGCAAGACACUAUAGCUCUUCCACCUCAAUAAUCCUAAUAUGAAAUUUGUGGAAAGAAAAGUAAGGAUGGAAUAUUUAUACAUUAAAGAUUAUUUUAAAUAUUUUAUUAUUUUAUACACUCGUAUAUUAAAAUAUUUUAAAAAAAAUUAUUUUAUUUUAUAUAUUUUUUAAAAAUUCUAAAAAUAUAUAUAUAUAUAAACUAAUAAAUUAAUUAACUUUAUUUACUCAAAACACUAAUAAAGCUAUUCAACACGGUCAAUUUGAAGAGAUUUAACUCAUAUUUACUAUAAUAUAAGUUCUAAAAAAUUAUUUAGCAUAAUUUCAGCUAUGACUUUUUUAUUAUUUAUGUUCAAUAUUAGAUUUUGCCCCCAAAACGACUUGUAAUGGAACAUAAUAAUUAAAAAAAAAGUACUCUAUAAAUUCUACCAAAAAAGAAAAGAAGACAGAGUAGAAAAAAUCUCACAUAUUUUGUAGUAAUUUUUUUUUUGAAAUAUUUAUUUCCUCUUUUAUUUUCAAGGCAUUGACUAGUGAGUAUAAUUUAUCAGCAUUCAAAGUAAUUGUGCAAUAUAAACUUAUAAGAAAUUAUUAUUAAUAGUAAUUUACAUUAUGAACAAUUUUGUAAUAAAUUAUUAAUUAAAAUUAAAGUGUGUAUAGAAUAAUUUUUAAGUACAAACAGUCCCGGCCAAAAAAUAAAUAGGCUUUGAAUUAGAAAAUCCCUCCUAAUUUAUUGAUGCAAUAAAAUCUUUCACAUCUAUGAGUUUUGUCAUACUGAAAAUGUUGCAAUUCUAGAAGGUCAAAGCAAAUUGCAAUUUGCAUGGGUGGCAGAUGAAUGUUAAUUAAGCUUUUUUGGUCGCUGAAUAAUUAGUUCAAUUGGACCCUAUAAAGUUCGGUUGUUACGAUUUUGCCCAUCCAAUUUUGUGCACGAACUAAUUGAUUCCUCAUGUCCGUGAGAAAAGUUUUUACAGGAUAUUUGAAGACGAUUAAAUAAAUAUUUUAAUAAAAACGAUAUACAAUUUUGAACGAAUGUUAAAAUAUGAUCACCUAACAAAUAUUUGGAAAAUUUACACUAAUAACCAUAAAAAUUUUAACUUUUUUUAUCUUAGCCCCCCAAACAAACUUCUAUCAAUAUUAGCCAUAAAAAAGCAUUUGAGACCAAAAUACCCCUCUUUCUCAUCUUGAGAAAGCGGGAAUAUACGCAACCAACUAUCAGCACAAUUACACAAUGCUUUUAUUUUUCUUUUUUCUUUUUUAUUUUGGGUAGCGAGAGAACAUUUACAACUUGACGCACAUCUUGAAUUCAACUAACAUGCAGUCAUACCUUGCAACACCUUUUCCUGGAGUCCCACCGCACCAUGCAACCUCAGCAAAGCCUUUAAUAAUGUUUCCUUCAACUAGUUCGCCAUGCACUUCAAGGUUCACAACCUUCGGGAUUCCACUACCUUUGCAUAAUGAAGGUGCAUAAAAAAGAACAAUAGAGACUUUUAAUAAGCAUUCAGCAAAACAAUGAAUUUUAAAAAAUAAAAUAAAAUAAUUUACCAAUGUCUUCAUGCUUUGGCCAAUAUGAAAGAUAUGCAAUUUAAUUCAACAAAAAGUGAAAGACAUACCCCGUGAAACUGGAGAAGAUAUGGCAAAGAUAGGAGAGUACUCAGUUUCUCCCAGUAUAGGAGUACAUUCCACUUUCAGAAAUUUACCAAUGUCUUCAUGCUUUGGCCAAUAAACCUGGUCAUCAUAAGGUGUCAUCAACAUAAGAGAAGAGAGAGGAAAAGCAAUAUUUUCCACCCAAAGUCCAAACAAUAAAGAAGAUAUAGCUAGAAUCAGUUACCUCACUGGUGACACCAGAAAUAGCAACAAAAAUUGAAAGUGGUCUCUCUCCUAUGAACCACUGAUAUUUCAAACCUAAUUGUAGAUCAGUGCUCACAGUGCUGUCUUGAACAAAAAAAAAGUGACUGUGACAAGCAUCUUGUUCGACUGGUUGAUCUUUUUCAUGAUUUUCUGUUAUCUGGGCAGGUUGAUGGUUCAUUUGAAAAGCUUCAAAACUCUCGGGCAUUUAAAAGAGAUGGAGAAACAAGUGUUUUUGUCUGGACUAGCAAAGCCAUUGUGGACACCUUGGCUAAACAUUGGACAACAACUAGAGGUGCUGAGAUUUUGUCCAUGGUGUCCAGUCAGCUCAAGGAUAAGCAGCAGGAGCAUGAAAAGUUUCUGCAGUUUCUAGCUUGGUGCGACAGGCGCCUGUCGCACCAAGUUUCAUGCGACAGGUGCCUGUCGCUCUAAGUUUUACCUGUCGCACCAAGCUUCGUGCGACAGGCAGUCUGUCGUCAGAUUCACUCACGACUCGCAGUUCCGAAACUCUCGAUCAAGUUCAGAAGGGUAAUUUGGGGAGAAAAGCGUGUGUUUGGCUAAUGUUGAUAGAAAAAAGUUGAGAGGAUUAAUUGUGAAAAUAAUAAAAGUUUUAUGGUUAUUUUUGUAAAUUUCCCCAAAUAUUUUGUAAAACUUACAUGAACCUGCAUUAUGUAUAUAUGUUUUGUUAAGUCAUGACAAUCUGAAUAUAAUUUUUUUUUUUGAAAUAUUAUUAGCUAGUGGAUAUAGGAGGAAUAUCCACCACAGCCAUCGAAUCGAGUUAGUGACCAUACAGAGUAAUUACUUUAAUCAAUUAAGCAGAAAUAUAAUUUAUAUAUAUCCUGAAAACAAUCCCACAAUAUCAUACAUCUCGAAAGAGUUAAUUUACAAAUAUAAAUAUCAAACUCAACUCAUAAAAGAAAAUAUAUAAACAAAUAAAAAGUAACAAACGUGGGGCAAAUUCAUAAUGGUGCCCCCCUAUUCAAACCAAAUAAAAACUUAAAAAAUUUGUCACCAACAACUUGGAUAUGUAGGAUUCUUUUAGUUAAGCAGUGGAAGUGAAGUUGAAAUCGGCGCACGUAGUUUGCCUCCGCAAGAGUGCAGAGCUGAAGCCUAGCCUUGAUGUUGCCGAAUCAAACUGAAGAAGCAUGUCCUCCAACUGGUGCCCUCCGAUGACAAUGGAAAUUGUAGGUUUCGAACCGCCAUUAACAAACCCUGGACAAUACAUAUCUUCAUGGACCUGCACCAUCAAGUUUGCACCAAAGAUGCGCCAUAUCAAAUUCUCAUUCUCUGCGAAACAAGUUGGAUGGUCAGCACGGAUGCCCCCAAACGCGUGCCAAGUAUGUUCCUUGAGUUGAAACACACAUCAAAGGGUGCCACGGAUGCCACCCUGGUGGUGUUUCUAGCAGAUGAACGCCUCUAUUACUGCCUUAAAUAUCGACUUCUCCAAUGUAGUGAGGGAUUCACAGUGCUAAUUUUUGUUCCGCCCAAGCCCUGGCUGUCUAUUGACAGCAAUGCGGAGUUCAAGGGGACGACUCUGUCAUCAACCUUGAUUGAUUUCACUCCAAUGAAGUAUUCAGCGGAGGGCUCGCCUCGUGCGCGAGCGGAAGCUGUGUUUGCGGGGUUAAUGAAGAGUGGCAUGAAAGCAAGACUGUCAGAUGCAUCAACGUUGGGUGGAAAUACAUAAGGACCGUCGCUGAAGAAAAUGACACCUUUUGAAUUGGGGGACAAAGCUAAAAGCGGAGGAAAUUGUAAAGGUAAAGCAGUUCUAGUCCUGCCAAGACCAGCCAUUCCCACAACUCCACUAGCAAGGCCCUCCAACAGAAAAUCAUUGGCUGCACAAGAAAAUAGGAAAUCGAACACUGUUACAGUCCUGCUGCCAGGAUUGAAGCCGUUUGUUGGCUGGACAGAAAAUAACAUCUUGGACGAAUUCUCCGCUGGUGGCAAUUUCAAUAAGGGAGUUAUCAGGUGUGGCACCGCAUGUGUUGUUGUUGCACCCUGGCCUUGGCGAUGAAAAGCAGUCGCCGCAGCUGUUGGAUCUAGCCACUGAGCAUUGGGCUGACUUACACCUCACUGGGCCGUACGCCGAGGACGAAUAGUUUUGUCUGCAAUCAACCACUUAAAUUCCUUAGGAAUUGCUUUUCUUAGCAAGCAGAGCAGAAAAACCAAAAGCUUUGUAUUGAAAUAAAACUUGAAUGAAAAUGUUUACAGGCCAUCGUCUAUUUAUACAUAAAGAAACAAAAAUGACAGCUAGCUAAGGAUAACAAAUUCAAAUAAAACAAAACAAUCCGUGAAUCAUUAGCCAAUGAUAUAAUGCUUCCAGAAUCUUCAUCCAUUCAUCCCAUGUGCUGAUAUUCCUCUGUGUAAUUAUUUUGCCACCUCAUUGAAUUUAUCUCAGUUCUUUCAUCAGCUGGUAAAUAGGUGUAGCUCAGGUGGCAUGCCAAUGUGUCACUGAGGUCAGCUGAUGACUGGUCAUGGUCAUGGCUGAUAUUUUCAACACCCUCUCUCAAACACAAGGUUUUGUCAAAUACCUUGAGUUUGCUUUUGAAGCAGCUGAAUUUGUAAUAAGGUAAUAGCUUAGUUAGAACAUCGGCUAUUUGAUCUCUGCCUGCAACAAAGCUAAUUUCCAUUUCACCUUUAGCUACCUUGUCCCUGAUAAACUGUAGGUCUAUCUCAAAAUGCUUAGUUUUUGAGUGAAAGACAAGAUUGGUGGCUAUGGCAGCUGCACUUGUGCUAUCACUUAGGAUUGUUGGUGUUCUUUAUAUCUCUAUUUUCAGCUCACUUAGUAAGAAGCUAAUCCAUGUUAGUUCUGUAGUACAAAGGGCCAUUGCUCUGUAUUCUGAUUCAACCGUAGAUCUAGCAACUAAGCCUUGCUUUCUUGAACUCCAAGCAAUGAGAUUUCCACCCAGAAAUACACAAUAGCCACCGAUAGACCUUCUGUCAUCCAAAUCAUUUGCCCAAUCUGCAUCUGUGUAAGCUAUCAAAUCAAAGUACUUUGACUUUUUGAAUUUCAGACACAUGUUCAUGGUGCUUUUGAAAUACCUUAAUACUCUUUUGCAUGCUAUCCAGUGAGGUUGCCUAGGAUCAGACAUGUGUUGGCUAAGCUUGUUCACUGAAUAAGCAAGCUCAGGUCUUGUGAGUAUUGCAUACUGCAGGCUACCUAUAACACUUCAAUACAGUGUGGGAUCAUGAAACUUUUCUCCUUCAUUCUUCUUCAGCUUUUCUGUAGUACUGAAAGGUGAUUCAAUUCCUUUACAGUUACUCAUUUAUGUUUUGGCAAAAAAGUCUUGUAUAUACUUAGUUUGAGGCAGCAGAAUAGCAUUUUGAUUUCUGUUUACUUGAAUCCCCAGAAAGAAGUUUAGCUCUCCCAAAUCCUUUAAGGCAAAGGCCCCAUUUAAAUUGCUGACCAGUUCUUCAAUACUGCCACUGUUGUCACCAGUAAUAAUGAUGUCGUCAACAUAAAUAAGCAGUAUAACUAUCUCAGAUUUAGUUCUUCUGUAGAACAAUAAGGUAUCACACUUGGAGUUUUCAAAUCCCCAAGAGUUUAAGGCACCUUUUAGUUUGUCAAACCAUGCCCUCGGGGCUUGUCUCAGACCAUACAAUGCUUUCCUUAAUCUGCAUAUGUGAUUAGGCUUGCUUUUGUCUACAAAACCUUCAGGCUAUGGCAUGUAAACCAUUUCUGUCAACUCACAAUUCAAGAAGGCAUUGUAUAUAUCUACCUGCCUCAGCAUCCAGUCAUUGUUUACUGCCAAAGUAAGGAUGAUUCUGAUUGUUGCAGCCUUAACAACUGGGCUGAAGGUCUCUGUGAAAUCAAUGCCUGGAAUCUGCAAAAAUUCCUUCACCAUUAAUCUGGCUUUAUAUUUGUUUAUGGUUCCAUCUGGAUUCUCUUUGACUUUGUACACCCAUUUAUUUCCAAUCAGCUUGUAGCUUGAGUCAUUUGGUACCAAUGUCCAUAUUUAAUUUUUUAUCAAGGCAUUGUAUUCAUCUUCCAUUGCCUUUUUCCAGCUUGGUUCUUUUAAGGCUUCUGAGGGGUUUGAGGGUAAUUAUGUCUGUGGUUUAGUAGAGAUUUAGUACAAUUUUAGUUUAAAGAUCCCUGCUUUAGAUCUUGUUACCAUAGGAUGUGAUGGAACAACUCCUCUUGUGUUGGGUGCUGUAAUAAGGGAUGAAGGUUGGUCAUUUGUUUGAGGCUGGUGAUUUGAAUGAAGUGAAAAUAAUUGAUUAUUUGAUAUCAUAUCAGUGCUCAAAUUCUAUUGUGUCUUACCUUGGUCAAAGUUCUGGGAUUGUUCUGAAGUUUCAGGAGUCUCAAGAGAGUGGCUUUGAUCAGUUGCUGUCUGAGUGUUUUGAGGAGUAUCAAGAGAGAAUGACAAGGCCUAAAAUUUUUCUAAAAAAGUAAUAAAAUCACUCUGACUUGUAGACUCUUGUCUACUGAACUUGGUGUCAUUAGAAAAAGAAAAUGAGAUUUCAUUGAAUCUAACACUUGCAGAGAUAUAUAUUCUACAUGAGUGAUGUAUGCAAACAUAUCUCUUGUGAGUUAUGCUUAUUCCUAGCAGUGUGCAUUUGGCAGUAUGGAAAUCAAACUUGUGCUUGUUAUAUGGUCUCAAAAAUAGAUAUCAUUCACACCCAAAUACUUUGAUUUGUGAGUAGUUUGGUUUGUAAUGGUAAAGCAAUUCAAAAGGGGUUUUAUUUCCAAUAACAGGUAAGGCUAAUCUAUUGAUAAUGUAGGUGGCAUAAGUGAAAGCUUCUUGCCAGACCUUUAAUGGCAUUUUAGCUUGUGCUAGCAAUGUGAGCCCAGUUUCUACCACAUGUCUGUGUUUUCUCUCAACCUUACCAUUUUGUUCAUGUAGAUAUGGACAUGAUUGUCUCAAUGCUAUGCCCUCUUUGUCAAGAAAUGUUUUGAAUGGUUUAAACUCUCCUCCCAUGUCUGUCUGUAAUGCUUUAAUUUUCAGAUUCAAUUGGUUUUCAAUUUGACUUUUGAAGGUGAUGAAUGUAUUGAGAGCUUGGGAUUUUGUUGUCAAGGGAAACAACCAUGUGUAUCUUGUCAUGUCAUCCACAAAAGAUAUGUAAUAUUUAUGUCCAUGACUUAAGGGAAUUGGUGCUGGUCCCCAAAAGUCAGCAUGAAUCAAUUAUAGAGCCUUAUUGGUUUUAGUUUAUGUGCUUUUGAAGUUUUGAUUAGAUUGUUUUCCAUACUGACAUGCACAACAAAGUGAAGGAACAUAAUUCUUGUUUAAUUUGAACUGAUUACAAGACAACAAGGUGCUUUUCAGAGUAGACUCAUUUGGGUGCCCUAGUCUGAGAUGCCAGAGAUCAAUAUCUUUCAAAGCAUCAUUGCUUGAUCUAUCAGUUUCAGAGGACUCAACACAAAUAUUUGCUAACUUGACACUACUCAAAUUAAAUGAUAGCAUAGACACUGGAUUGCUGAUGCAAUUUAUUGACUCAGGCAUGAGAGAUGAAGAUAAAACAGCAGCAUAAGGAGUUUUGUUCCCACUCAGGUGAGUAAGUAAGCACAUCAGCUUAUAAAGCCCCUCUCUAGCCACUCAUUUCACCAGAAUUUUCCCUUGUCUCUUGUCCUUGAUAAAACACACAGAUUUUUUAAAUUCGAUAUCAAUAUCAUUAUCAUGCAAUAAUCUGGAAAUGCUAAUGAGAUUUUUAGUGAUGCUUGGCACAAAUAAUAUGUCAAUCAAGGCUAUGUGUUUAUGUGGAUUUGAAGUGGAAAGCACAGAGUUACCAAUAUGAGAGAUCAAUAGUUUUUCACCAUUUCCAACAGUUAACUUUUCAUUACCUUGAUACUCAGAGUUGAUGUUUAUGUUGUUAAGGGCAUUUGUCACAUGGUUUGUGGCACCACUGUCCAAGUACCAGGCUCUACUGCUUUGGCCAUCAGUUGCAGCCACAUAUGCACCUCUUGGUUCUCUCAUUUGCCUUGGUUGUGACACAUAAUUCUUUUUGAAUUUGUGCCAGCAAUCAGCAGCUAUGUGUCCCAUUUUCCAGCAAAUUUGACAAGGCCCCUUUGGAUUUGAAUCAUCAUCAUCACUCACAGCUUUGCCUUUCCCUUUGUCAUGAGAGUUCUGAUUUCCUUGACCAUUACCAGAUUCAUUGCCAGGGGUUCUGAAAACUAUGCCAGGUUGGUAUUGAUUUCCAGCCCUAUUCUGGUUGUUCCAAUUCAUUCUCUCAUUUCUCAUUUGUGUAUAGUUUGCCUCUAUAGUCCCUGAGCUUAUGUUGUGUUCAGUUCUGUUUUCUUGGCUGAGAAGCAUGCCAUAGACUUAAGAAUGUGAGGGACUUUCCUGCAUUGAAUUUAUGCUAGCAAUAAUUGAAUCAUAUUCUGAUCCCAAACCAGUAAAUAGACACAUGAUAAAGUCAUCAUCACUCAUAUUACUCCCUGCAGCCUUAAGUGCAUUUAAUAUAGACUUCAUUCUAGAGUAAUACUCAUGAAUGGUUAGUGAGUCCUUUUUGGUGGUCUGGAUUUGUGUUAUGAGAUGUAAGAUUCUAGCUCUAGUUCUUGCACUGAAUUGAUUGGAAAGAGUUGUCCACACCUCAAAGGAGGUGGAACAAUCCACCACAGUGCCUAACACUUCCUCACUAAGUGAAGAUAACAACCAACUUAGGAGGAUGUGGUCCUGCUUCUUCCAGACUUGGUAUUCUGGGUUAGGUGUGGUAAUUAUUGUUUGAUCUUGUCCAAGGUUUAUGAAAACUCUAGGAGGGCAGAUAUGGCUGCCAUCUAUGAACCCCCCAAGCUCAUUUGCUCUAAUGCUAGAAAUCACUUGUGAUCUCCAUAGCAUGAAAUUGUUUUGAUUUAGCUUAAUGGGAGUUGUGAAUACAUAUGUGCUGCUGGUGAUGUGUUGAGUGGGUGAAGGUGAGUUGUGACUCAAAUUUUGUUCAAUGUUUUGAGGGGUGUUUUGAUUUUCAUUUUGAUUCAAGUUGCCCAUCUGAUCAUUUUGGUUCACAUUUGCUUGUGUGCUGCUGCUGCUUGCCAUAGCUUUGAAGAUGGCUCUGAUACCAACUUAAAUUCCUUAGGAAUUGCUUUUCUUAGUAAGCAUAGCAGAAAAACCAGAAGCUUUGUAUUGAAAUAAAACUUGAAUGAAAAUGUUUACAGGCCAUCAUCUAUUUAUACAUAAAGAAACAAAAAUGACAGCUAGCUAAGGAUAACAAAUUCAAAUAAAACAAAACAAUCCGUGAAUCAUUAGCCAAUAAUAUAAUGCUUCUAGAAUCUUCAUCCAUCCAUCCCAUGUGCUGAUAUUCCUCUGUGUAACUAUUUUACCACCUCAUUGAAUUUGUCUCAGUUCUUUCAUCAGCUGGUAAAUAGGUGUAGCUCAGGUGGCAUGCCAAUGUGUCACUGAGGUUAGCUGAUGACUGGUCAUGAUCAUGGCUGCUAUUUUCAAUACAACCCACGUGAAUUGGUCGCCUAGAUCAACCACCAGGUUUACUGGCAACAGUGAGGUUCUCUGGUUGAUAGUGGUCACAAACUAAAGUGUGGAAGCAUUUUUUGUGACGAGAACUACCAGAGCUUUUGGCCAGAAAGAUUUAUGAGCGAAAGAGGGAGGAGCAAUGGAAAAUAAAAUGAGACCAGAGAAGAGAAUGCACACUAAAUUCGUAGAGAAGAUGCCGUUUUAAUUUGUUUGCAAGAAUCAAAAAGCUUGUAGACGUUGGAAAUGAGAUGAGCGUGGACAGACUGUGGCAAGGCCGCCUCCAUUUAUAGUUCCUAUAAUUCAUAUUUAUUAAUUAUUAAUAUGCAGUGCAUGCGGCGGGUUGGCUCUGACCGCUGACGUGCUGAGACCAGACGUCUUCCAAGACUGCUGUAAUUUUAUACCACUGGAUCCAAAUCCAUAAAUAGUGUCCCAAAUAAUAGUCUUACAUACAUUCAAGCGCGGAGACGAUAUUUCUUUUCUUUAUUUAGAACACUAGAAUAAAUAUAUCCAAUAAUUACAACAUGUGUAUAUGACAAUAUUGUAACAUAAUUUAUACUUUUUUCCCAAGUAAAAAUCAUUUAUUUAAAAGAUAAUUCCCCUAGGUUUUUGUGUUGUGGAUGGCAAUAGCUACCAGUCUUUUAAGAAAGUAAUUUUCUUUGCUUGAACAGUAAGGCAAUGAACACUAAAAAAUUGUUGUGUAGAGAUAAAAGAAAUAUCGUAGCAGAAUUAGAUAAUUGUAUAUUUGUACUAAUUAUACGAUGUUUGAGACUUUUAAAGCUUUUAACAAACUUGUCAAAGGGAUGUAAAAAUUUUAAUUAAUUCUAAAUUUCAUCUCAUAAGGUUACAUUGAAGAUUUUUCGGAAAAGAGAAAUAACAUAAGAUUAUUGGGAAAAGGUUAAUAAUUAAAGAAAUUUGACUUUAGUGAAAGGAAAUUGUUUGAACCAGUGAACCCAUUGAAUCCUCUGUUGGGGACUUUUAUACCAUAUGCUCACGAUGGUGAGCAUGGUAACGUGUGGCCCGCGGCCAUUUGGAAAGAAUUAGAGUGCGUAUUUGAGCCCAUUGAAAACUUUGGAUUAAUAAUAUCCAGUGGCAUUAGACAAAUGCUUUCGCAUAUAAAAACCGAAUUUAAUUUUUUGUUCAGCUUUGUUCAUUAAUCACCUCCAAAGACUGUAUAGUGUCAACCCGAAAGUUCGAAGAAAUACGGAUGUUGAGUGAGCCUAAAACUACCCAAAAGUAAAGCCAUUAGCUGUCUAAAUACUCAAUGGCUCAAUUCCAAGCUCUGUAGUUCACAUCACAGCACAUUCACCGUCAUCAUUACAGUUCACAUCCCCAUAUGGGGCAUUCCUCGGCUGUAUCCCUCGAUGAUGAUGAGCAUAAUAACUUGGUGGUGUAGUGAAGGGAUGAACAUAAUUUGGCACCGUUGGUGGCCCAUAAUGGGGCAUCGGCUCCAUAGGCUUCUCCACGAACCCAUUGCCAAACCCUGAAGCCCCAGCACCAUGACAACAUCUUUGAGUUACAUUAUUUUUCGCUACAUGUCCAUUACCACUCUUUGUAAUCAGUGAAUUGCAACUAUUUGCAUGACCACUGUAUCCUUGUUGCUCUUCAUUGUGCAAUUCAACUUCACGCUGACCAUUCAGGUUGAUUUUCAUGGCAUGAUCAUUGUUAUUAGCAUGGCUCAUGUCAUUGUUAUGGUCCUUGAAGGUUAAUUUUAUGUUUUCAGAGCGGCGUAGCCCUAUAUGUUUUAGUCCUUUAAUCUUGGCCAGCUCUUGCAACUGUGCAUGGUCAAACGUAAUUGCUCGAGGGCUACCUCCUGCCGGUGCUGCUGGUUGUGAUUGUGGUGAUGGUGCAUUUUCAUUUUGCGGCUUUUUGAGUAGCUGCUCGACGUGGGGAUUUUGAUUUCUCCUAGGGGUUUGUAUAGGAUCCCAUAAAAGCUCUGCCUUUUUCCCAGCCUUUGCUAGCUUUGCUAUGAACAGGUGUGGGUCUACUGUACUUGAGACUGCCACUGUUCCCUCAUUUGCAUCUAUGCUGAUUGUAUGCACGCCUGCAGAAUGACAAAAGACACAGUUCAUAAAAUUGAAAUGUGCAAUCGUAUUUCUCUUUAGGGGAAAACGGGAAAGUUACCAUGAAUUUUCUUCAACACUUUCUUCACCCUCCGCUGGCAAGUCUCACACUUUAGUUGCAUUUUUAGAACACAGGUCUGCAAUGCCAAAAUACUUAACAGAUAACAUUUUUGUCUCAACCAUCACAUCCAUAUGAUUGUAUGUAGAGAUUGAUAUGCUUUGAAUGACAACAUGUACCUGGGGAGAAACCUGAUUGUUGUCCAUUGAAGUUGACUUUCAGAUCUCCGAAAACAAAUGCUAGUUGUUGGUGUGCUCACCAAAUGCCAGAUACUUCACUGCUGUUCUUAGAAAAAUGCCGAUGGGGAUGCCUUGAACAGUUUUCAGGUUUAAAGAGUGAUAUCUAUACGCACGUAAUUUUGGUCUUAAAUUUAGAAAUUAAUUAUUGAUUUAGUGUCAUGUAAGAAAUUUAAUAGAAAAUUUUCAAGGAAGAUAUUCUGUAUAAAUGCCAGAAUUCGUAUUGAUCUCUUUUGAGUUAUGAUAUUUAGAUUUGUAUGAAGAAGUCACAUCUUGAUUUGCUAGUGCGACAUCCAAAUUUUAAGUGUCAAAAUAACAUUGGAUAUCAGAUACCAUCAAAUUCGAUGGUGCCAAUCGAUGUCUUGUACAGGGAAAAUGAUCAAAGAGGGGGGGGAGGUGUCAUUAAUUACACAUAAUGAUAGCCAUUUAUUGGAUUUAAUCACACAUGCAGAAUGGAAAUGACUUGAAAUCUAAACUAAAAGAGAGCCUUGCAUCACAGUAAUAGCUUUCCCUCGCAGCUGCACUCUCCGAUUCUGCUCAUCCAAAUGAAUGUUCAAGAUCCCACUUCUAGGUGAUGCCUGAGUGUAGUAGAAAGUGUAAUCAAUAUAUAACAAUUAUAAGAAUAUGAAUAAAUGUUAAUUAGACUGAAAUGGAUGCAAAGAGAGUACCGCAUAUGCCACAAAAUCACACUUUCCAAGCUUUUGACUCCAAUAGGUUGCCAAAGCACAAUAUGCGCUCCCACAAACAGGAUCCUGAUAUAAACAAGUCAUGUACAUAAGAGACUAUUCAUUAGAAUUGUUACAGUCUUGAGAUAGUUUUUGAAAAUGAUUUCCGUCUUACUUAUUAGAUCCUAAACUACAAUACCAUACAUAAAAGAAAGUUCUUUGGUCUCUUACAUAGACACGCUACUUCAGAUGCCAAACAUCCUUCAUUGAAAACAAAACAGAGCAGUAUACGUUAGAGGCACUAAAUAUUUUGAAGUUAGCAAAAGGGGGAAAAGGCAGUAGAAAAUGAACAUUUUCAGCAGUAGCAUUUACACUCAAUUUGCAGUCCUCAUUACUCAUCAGAUGCUCUCAAGACAGGAAUGAUAUUCAAUGCAGAUCUCCUUGUAGCAUGAGUUAUCAUUCAGUCAUGUUUAUGAGAAAUGUCCAUGCUCAUAAUAGUCGUAUGUGAACUCAAUCAUUAAAACCAACGAGUUAUUACCUCAUUGAUGCAAAAUUUAGGGCAGAAGAAUCGGCUAUAAAAAUCAAAUCCAGACUCUGGGGGAGCUAGCCCUGAAACAAUUAUGCCUCUUCUUCCAGGACAUUUUUUCAUUUCAUCAAACUUUGGCUGCAAGUCUGCAACAGAUUUUGCUGAUGGGAGCACCACCUGCGUAAUGUAGCCAACUUUAUUCAGAACAACUAUUGAAACUAUAUCCAAAUGAGUGAAGGGUAAAAAGAAAUUACAAAGAUGUCUUCACAGGUAGUUGUUAUCUUCAUAUCCACGACUGAGGAGACACCCAAAGCCUUGAGAAUUAAUGAAACCUCAGAAAAAUUAAAGUCAGCAGUUGGAGCAGCAGGAAAAUCCAAUUCAAUAAAAUAGCACUCUUGUGCUUCACCAUUCUGAGAAUUAGAGUCAUUCAUUGCCUUAACAUCUGGGACCUUUUUGGCUGUUAGAAUGCCAGACAGUGUGGCAAAUUCAAUUGUGUUGGAGUUUACCAAAUCUGUCGAAAAGAGCGUGUGCGCAGCUGCUAAUGUUGCAUGCCCACAAAGUUCCAUCUGCAGAAAAUCUUAUCCUGAAGAUCAAAAUAUACACUCCUUUGUAUUGACGUGUCGUAUAUAUAAAUCACUAUAACAUAACAUGAAUACAUGAAAAUAUAUGUUAGCAUGAUGAUCACUCCACAAAGCUUUAGUUAUGAUUUCCAUUCAGAAAUAAAAAGAUGCAUAGCCACAUAAAUAAGAGUGACCAUUCAACAAUGAUUAAUCAUAACAAAACUAAAACCACAAGGAGUAUGAUAAAUCGUGAAGCUCCCGACCCGAACUAAGCCAAAUAGCUUCGUCCACAAUUUAUAAUUAUGAGAACUAAAACUGACCUCAGCAACAGGAGUGAACCAUCUAAGACGGAACCUCGGAUUAGGCGAUUCAGCAUCAGUAAGGCGAGUCAAGUAACAGGUUUCGGAGAUAUUGAACUCAGAAGCCACUGCUUGUAGCCAUUCUUCAUCUCUAUCUUCCUCUAACAAACAAACCGCUGCGGGGUUCCCCUUGAAAGCUGAGUCAGUAAAAGCAUCCACCUGUCAAAGCAACAAAAAGAACCCAGUCCCAUUCAACCACAACGGAACAUCAAUCUAUAUACAAAAGAGGAGAUUACUAUUAGUUACCACAGAGUAUUGUACGAGCUUCUUGGCCAUGUUGCAGAAUAAAGAGUGAUAAGUGAAACUUGGAGUCGCAAGAAGAGGGAUUGACUGAAAGGUUAAAAACCAAUCACAUUGCCAGAGAUAUCAGAUACCCCUGGCAGGAAACUCUCUCUUUUGGGGAUUGGGCUCAAAUUAAGUUCUGCUACAUUAUUGAUUUGAAAAUGACAUUGUAUUAACCAUCUCAUAUUCUACUAAACUCCUUACUGCGUACAUAGAAAAUUAAAAUUAAAGAUAAAAAAAAAAGAAAAGAAAAGAAAGAUGAAUGAUGUUUCAAUUUUUUUUAGAGAUUGUUUUUAAUAGUAAAUUGUUCUAUUAUUAUUUUAAUUGAAAAUGAGUGUUUAGACUCUAUUAAAUAAGUAUAAUUCUCUCAUCCUCCUAUUUAUUUAUUUUUUUCAUUCUUUUAUUUUUUAAAAUUUUCUUAUAAGAUUUCUUAUUACCCGCAUACAUUCAUCAAAGUAGAAGAGUAGAAUUGACAGAGAGAACGUCUAUAAAUCUACCGGUCAACAAAUAAAUUUUACAGCCAAUAAUUGAGACCCAGAAUUACAGACCACUUCAUCAAGAUUACAUGAAGUUGGUACAUGAUAUAAUGCACAAUCUUAUUUAUGCACAAGAAUGGGGCCCCGACAACUGGGCAAAUUAAUCAAAUCCCUUGGACAUUGUCAGGAAUUAGGAAAAGGUAAUGCUGGGAAUCUCGGCUGAACCAUUUUUUCUUCUUCUUAAUCCUUGUCAUCUUCAAAGAUGUCACAUCCUUUGAUUACGUAACUGUACCGGUGACCAAAUUAUAGAACUGUUCAAAGAAAAAACUUAUUAGGUAUUAGACGGUCUGUCUUAAUCCUCAGUAAACAAUCAAUCAACAAAUGCACAUUCACCACUAACUUUACUAUUAUCUAAGAGGUUUCUAACAUCAUCAUCUGAUUACAUGGCUUUAAAUCCAGCAUGAAAUGCAGCCUCCAAAUGAGAGAACUUAUGAGACAAAUUACCUUGCGGACACCAUGCAGCAACAGACAACCUAUGAAAUGAAUCUUGAACCCGUAGCACAACCACAUCUGCAUCAUUACUCUACUCAAUGAAGGUACAAAGGAGUUUAACUCCUAACAAUAAAAUCUAUUAAUAUGUUCUGCAGUAAAAAGAUAAAUAAAGAACAGAUAUACCGAAUGGUUGACACAUAAUUAAUACAGAAUAAAGAUGAGACUUGAAUUUUUUUUUUUUUUAAUCCUUAAUAAAACCAAGCGAAUACUCGUUCCAACUUACUUUUUGGAUAAUAAAAAUUUUAUGCCAAACAGGUGUUAUGAUGCUGGGUACAGAGAGCAGAAAAUGAAUUGUAAUUAACAGAGUGAAGAACAAAAGGACAUUUAUAUAUACACAUAUACAUAUACAUACAUAUGUAUGUAUAUGUACCUUGUAGCCUUCAACAAUCAAUUCUACACCAUGCAUUCAAGACAGCUAUCUUAUCAGCGUCAACAUGAACUUUCCUCUUCAAGGUCGAGCCAUUCAAGGCUUUAAUAAUAUUAGCCUACUACAAGCAAAAAAUUACUGCAGUUGCAGCAUUUGGGCAAAUUAUAUGUCAAAUCAACAGCAAAGCAUUAUGUUUUAAUAAGAAAUUAAGAUUCAAUCUGGACUCCGCUACUGCAACAUGUAUGCUGCAUACAGCUCACCUCAAUACUGACUGAUAACUUGAUAUGAGAAUGACAACUUUAGUGUAAAUGUAAAGAUUUACAGAAACAGGAUAUCAUUUCAUUCUACUGCAUUCCAUGUCAGCAAAUUUCAUACUGGAACAACUUAAUCAAACUAGUAUGCUUAGUAAAUGCUUGUCCUUUGGCAACUUGGGAAGGCAGUGUGCUUGAAUGAACCAAAAGCACACAUAGACACAUGCAGAUAAAGAUAAUUAUAUGAGCAUUAUAGACAGGAAAAUCAAGGCAGAAAAUUACCCAAGGUGGUAGAGCAAACAAGCCUCUAAUUUCAUAGGCAUCUAACCGUGGAACAAGUUCCAUCAACAACGAUCAUUUAACCACAUUCGAGACUGCUGAUUGCUAACCUGCAACAAAAUAAAAUGAGCCCCAAUAUGAUUAAUGAACUUGCACAAAUUAUAUGGAUUCUUUUCUCUGAAAAAUGUCUUUGUUCUGAAAAACAUCAGAUCAAAAGGAACCGUAGCGAAAAUACACGAACAAAAACACCUCAAAUAUCUUCAGCAGAACAAGUAGUGAUCAACAAAAUGCACUCCAAUGAAAUUGGCUUACUGUUUAUUGUAUUACAAUGAAGUGAUUUUAUCUUAUAACAUUGGAUAUCGGAUACCACCAAAUUGGAUGGUACAAAUGUAAAUUUUAUCUUAAAGAUGUCUUGUACAAGGUAUCGAAACAUGAUCAAGAAACACUCCAGGAAAUCAUUAUUUGCACGUAAUGAUUGACAUUUAUUGGAGUUGAUCACACACGCAUAAUGGAAAUCACUUGAAAUCUAAACUAACAGAGAGCCUUCCAUCACAGUAAUAGCUUUUCCUCGCAGCUGCACUCUCUGAUUCUGCUUGUCUACAUGAAUGUUCAAGAUCCCACUUCUUGGUGAUGCCUGAGUCAGGUAAAAUGUAAUCAACAUAUAACAAUUAGAAGGAAUAUGAAUAGACAUAAAUUAGAGAGAAAUGGAUGCAAAGAGAGUACCGCAUAAGCCACAAAAUCACACUUUCCAAGCUUUUGACUCCAAUAGGUUGCCAAAGCACAAUGUGCACUCCCACAAACGGGAUCCUGAUAUAAACAAGUCAUGUACAUAUAAGACUGUUAUUAGAACUGUUUCAAUAUUGACAGAGUUUUUGAAAAUUAUUUCCAUCUUACUUAUUGGAUCCUAAACUACAGUACCACACAUAAAAGACAGUUCUUUGUUCUCUUACAUAGACACAUUACUUCAAAUGCCAAAAAUCCUUCUUGAAAUCAAAACCGAGCAAUCUACACUAGACUUUAGAGGCACUAUAUGUUUCGAAGUUAGCAAAUGGGUGAAAAGCUAGUAGGAAAUGAGCAAUAAUUUUGUUCACUUUCAGCUGUUACAUUUCACUCAAUUUGCAGGCCUUAUUACUCAUCAGAUUUUCUAAAACAGAAAUGAUAUUCAAUGCACAUCUUCAUGUAGCAUGAGUUAUGACAAAUGUACAUGCUCAUAAUACAGUAGUAUAUAAACUCAUUCAUUAAAACCAACGAGUUAUUACCUCAUUGAUGCCAAAUUUAGGGCAAAAGAAUCGGCUAUAAAAAUCAAAUCCAGACUCUGGAGGAGCAAGCCCUGAAACAAUUAUGCCUCUUCCAGGACAUUUUCGUAUUUGAUCAAACUGUGGCUCCACGUCUGUAACAAAUUUCGCCGAUGGGAGCACGACCUGCAUAUCGUAGCCAACUUCAUUCAGAACAACUACUAACACUAUAUCCAAAUGAGUAAAGGGUUAAAAGAAAUUACAAAGAUGUCUUCUGAGGUAGUUGUUAUCUUCAUAUCCAUGACUGAAGAAACACUCAAAGCCUUAUGAAUUAAUGAAACCUCAGAAAAAUUGAAAUCAGUAGUUGGAACUGUAGGAAAAUCCAAUUCAAUAAAAUAGCACUCUUGUGCUUCGCCAUUCUGUGAAUUAGAGUCAUUCAUCGCCUUAACAUCUGGAUCUUUUUUGGCUGUUAGAAUUCCAGACAGUGUGGCAAAUUCAAUUAUGUUGGAGUUUACCAAACCUCUCGAAAAGAGAGUGUGUGCAGCUGCUAAUGUUGCAUGACCACAAAGUUCAACCUGCAAAAAACUUAUCCUGAAAUUAAAAUACACUCUCCUUUGCGUUGGAGUCAGUGUCAUAUAUAUAAAAAACUAUAACAUGAACACAUGCAAAUCUAUGAAGCCUAAUGAUCAGAAAUAAUAUCAUUCAAGAUAAAAAUUUAGCUAUAAUCUUCCUUCAGAACUAAAAGAAGCAUAGCACAUAAAUAAGAGUAAACAUUCCACAAUGAUGGAAUGAUGAAAAAACUAAAACCCCAUGAAAUAAGAUAAAUCAUCAAGCUCCAGAACUGAGCCAAAUAGCUUCAUCCACAACUUAUAAUUAUAAAAACUGAAACUGACCUCAGCAACAGGAGUGAACCAUCUAAGACGGAACCUCGGAUUAGGAGAUUCAGCAGCAGUAAGGCGAGUCAAGUAACCGGUCUGAGAGGUAUUGAACUCAGAAGCCACAGCUUGUAGCCAUUCUUCAUCUCUAUCUUCCUCUAACAAACAAACCGCUGCUGGGUUCCCCUUGAAAGCUGAGUCGGUAAAAGCAUCCACCUGUCAAAGCAACAAAAAGAACCCAGUCCCAUUCAACCACAACGGAACAUCAAUCUAUAAAUACAAAAGAGGAGAUUACUAUUAGUUACCACAGAAUAUUGUACGAGCUUCUUGGCCAUGUUGCAGAAUAAAGAAUGAAGUUUAGAGUUUGACACGUGAAACUUGGAGUUGCAAAAGGUGAAGAGCUGAAACCCGAAACUGAGAUGAAAGAAAUGGUCAACACCUAACAGCCGCCAACCUACUGUCUUUUUCUUUAUAUUUUUUUUCCUUUUUUUCCACGGUUCUUCCCCUCUCGGACGCUUGCCACAUUCGAUUGGACUGUGCAUGAUACAAUAAGAUUUGUUUUUCUUAUAAUUAUCUUGUAUUCUGCCUACUACAACCAACUGAUUAACUUAAUUUAUAAGAAAAGAAAUUUCUUAAAUUACAUUUAUUGUAAAGAGCAGAAUCAAGUGAGGCAACGGAUAAAUUUUAUUUGACAGUGAAUUAUAUUAAAUAUAAUUUAGAGAGAUUCAUAAGAAAAUGAGCCCCAAUAUGAUUAACGAACUUGCACAAAUUAUAUGGAUUCUUUUCUCUGAAAAAUGUCUUUGUUCUGAAAAACAUCAGAUCAAAAGAAACCAUAGCGAAAAUACACGAACAAAAACACCUCAAAUAUCUUCAGCAGAACAAGUAGUGAUCAACAAAAUACAGUCCAAUGAAAUUGGCUUACUGUUUAUUGUAUUACAAUGAAGUGAUUUUAUCAUAUAACAUUGGAUAUCAGAUACCACCAAAUUGGAUGGUACAAAUGUAAAUUUUAUCUUAAAGAUGUCUUGUACAAGGUAUCGAAACAUGAUCAAGAAACACUCCAGGGAAUCAUUAUUUGCACGUAAUGAUUGACAUUUAUUGGAGUUGAUCACACACGCAUAAUGGAAAUCACUUGAAAUCUAAACUAACAGAGAGCCUUCCAUCACAGUAAUAGCUUUUCCUCGCAGCUGCACUCUCUGAUUCUGCUUGUCUACAUGAAUGUUCAAGAUCCCACUUCUUGGUGAUGCCUGAGUCAGGUAAAAUGUAAUCAACAUAUAACAAUUAGAAGGAAUAUGAAUAGACAUAAAUUAGAGAGAAAUGGGUGCAAAGAGAGUACCGCAUAAGCCACAAAAUCACACUUUCCAAGCUUUUGACUCCAAUAGGUUGCCAAAGCACAAUGUGCACUCCCACAAACGGGAUCCUGAUAUAAACAAGUCAUGUACAUAUAAGACUGUUAUUAGAACUGUUUCAAUAUUGACAGAGUUUUUGAAAAUUAUUUCCAUCUUACUUAUUGGAUCCUAAACUACAGUACCAUACAUUAAAGAAAGUUCUUUGUUCUCUUACAUAGACACAUUACUUCAAAUGCCAAAAAUCCUUCUUGAAAUCAAAACAGAGCAAUCUACACUAGACUUUAGAGGCAAUAUAUGUUUCGAAGUUAGCAAAUGGGUGAAAAGCUAGUAGGAAAGGAGCAAUAAUUUUGUUCACUUUCAGCUGUAACAUUUCACUCAAUUUGCAGGCCUUAUUACUCAUCAGAUUUUCUAAAACAGAAACGAUAUUCAAUGCACAUCUCCAUGUAGCAUGAGUUAUGACAAAUGUACAUGCUCAUAAUACAGUAGUAUAUAAACUCAUUCAUUAAAACCAACGAGUUAUUACCUCAUUGAUGCCAAAUUUAGGGCAGAAGAAUCGGCUAUAAAAAUCAAAUCCAGACUCUGGAGGAGCAAGCCCUGAAACAAUUAUGCCGCUUCCAGGACAUUUUCGUAUUUGAUCAAACUGUGGCUCCACGUCUGUAACAGAUUUCGCCGAUGGGAGCACGACCUGCAUAUUGUAGCCAACUUCAUUCAGAACAACUACUAACACUAUAUCCAAAUGAGUAAAGGGUUAAAAGAAAUUACAAAGAUAUCUUCUGAGGUAGUUGUUAUCUUCAUAUCCAUGACUGAAGAAACACUCAAAGCCUUAUGAAUUAAUGAAACCUCAGAAAAAUUGAAAUCAGUAGUUGGAACUGUAGGAAAAUCCAAUUCAAUAAAAUAGCACUCUCGUGCUUCGCCUUUCUGUGAAUUAGAGUCAUUCAUCGCCUUAACAUCUGGAACUUUUUUGGCUGUUAGAAUUCCAGACAGUGUGGCAAAUUCAAUUAUGUUGGAGUUUACCAAACCUCUCGAAAAAAGAGUGUGUGCAGCUGCUAAUGUUGCAUGACCACAAAGUUCAACCUGCAAAAAACUUAUCCUGAAAUUAAAAUACACUCUCCUUUGUGUUGGAGUAAGUGUCAUAUACAUAAAAAACUAUAACAUGAACACAUGAAAAUCUAUGAAGCUUAAUGAUCAGAAAUAAUAUCAUUCAAGAUAAAAAUUUAGCUAUAAUCUUCCUUCAGAACUAAAAGAAGCAUAGCACAUAAAUAAGAGUAAACAUUCCACAAUGAUGGAAUGAUGAAAAAACUAAAACCCCAUGAAAUAAGAUAAAUCAUCAAGCUCCAGAACUGAGCCAAAUAGCUUCAUCCACAACUUAUAAUUAUAAAAACUGAAACUGACCUCAGCAACAGGAGUGAACCAUCUAAGACGGAACCUCGGAUUAGGAGAUUCAGCAUCAGUAAGGCGAGUCAAGUAACAGGUCUCGGAGAUAUUGAACUCAGAAGCCACAGCUUGUAGCCAUUCUUCAUCUCUAUCUUCCUCUAACAAACAAACCGCUGCUGGGUUCCCCUUGAAAGCUGAGUCGGUAAAAGCAUCCACCUGUCAAAGCAACAAAAAGAACCCAGUCCCAUUCAACCACAACGGAACAUCAAUCUAUAAAUACAAAAGAGGAGAUUACUAUUAGUUACCACAGAAUAUUGUACGAGCUUCUUGGCCAUGUUGCAGAAUAAAGAAUGAAGUUUAGAGUUUGACACGUGAAACUUGGAGUUGCAAAAGGUGAAGAGCUGAAACCCGAAACUGAGAUGAAAGAAAUGGUCAACACCUAACAGCCGCCAACCUACUGUCUUUUUCUUUAUAUUUUUUUUCCUUUUUUUCCACGGUUCUUCCCCUCUCGGACGCUUGCCACAUUCGAUUGGACUGUGCAUGAUACAAUAAGAUUUGUUUUUCUUAUAAUUAUCUUGUAUUCUGCCUACUACAACCAACUGAUUAACUUAAUUUAUAAGAAAAGAAAUUUCUUAAAUUACAUUUAUUGUAAAGAGCAGAAUCAAGUGAGGCAACGGAUAAAUUUUAUUUGACAGUGAAUUAUAUUAAAUAUAAUUUAGAGAGAUUCAUAAGAAAAUGAGCCCCAAUAUGAUUAACGAACUUGCACAAAUUAUAUGGAUUCUUUUCUCUGAAAAAUGUCUUUGUUCUGAAAAACAUCAGAUCAAAAGAAACCAUAGCGAAAAUACACGAACAAAAACACCUCAAAUAUCUUCAGCAGAACAAGUAGUGAUCAACAAAAUACAGUCCAAUGAAAUUGGCUUACUGUUUAUUGUAUUACAAUGAAGUGAUUUUAUCAUAUAACAUUGGAUAUCAGAUACCACCAAAUUGGAUGGUACAAAUGUAAAUUUUAUCUUAAAGAUGUCUUGUACAAGGUAUCGAAACAUGAUCAAGAAACACUCCAGGGAAUCAUUAUUUGCACGUAAUGAUUGACAUUUAUUGGAGUUGAUCACACACGCAUAAUGGAAAUCACUUGAAAUCUAAACUAACAGAGAGCCUUCCAUCACAGUAAUAGCUUUUCCUCGCAGCUGCACUCUCUGAUUCUGCUUGUCUACAUGAAUGUUCAAGAUCCCACUUCUUGGUGAUGCCUGAGUCAGGUAAAAUGUAAUCAACAUAUAACAAUUAGAAGGAAUAUGAAUAGACAUAAAUUAGAGAGAAAUGGGUGCAAAGAGAGUACCGCAUAAGCCACAAAAUCACACUUUCCAAGCUUUUGACUCCAAUAGGUUGCCAAAGCACAAUGUGCACUCCCACAAACGGGAUCCUGAUAUAAACAAGUCAUGUACAUAUAAGACUGUUAUUAGAACUGUUUCAAUAUUGACAGAGUUUUUGAAAAUUAUUUCCAUCUUACUUAUUGGAUCCUAAACUACAGUACCAUACAUUAAAGAAAGUUCUUUGUUCUCUUACAUAGACACAUUACUUCAAAUGCCAAAAAUCCUUCUUGAAAUCAAAACAGAGCAAUCUACACUAGACUUUAGAGGCAAUAUAUGUUUCGAAGUUAGCAAAUGGGUGAAAAGCUAGUAGGAAAGGAGCAAUAAUUUUGUUCACUUUCAGCUGUAACAUUUCACUCAAUUUGCAGGCCUUAUUACUCAUCAGAUUUUCUAAAACAGAAACGAUAUUCAAUGCACAUCUCCAUGUAGCAUGAGUUAUGACAAAUGUACAUGCUCAUAAUACAGUAGUAUAUAAACUCAUUCAUUAAAACCAACGAGUUAUUACCUCAUUGAUGCCAAAUUUAGGGCAGAAGAAUCGGCUAUAAAAAUCAAAUCCAGACUCUGGAGGAGCAAGCCCUGAAACAAUUAUGCCGCUUCCAGGACAUUUUCGUAUUUGAUCAAACUGUGGCUCCACGUCUGUAACAGAUUUCGCCGAUGGGAGCACGACCUGCAUAUUGUAGCCAACUUCAUUCAGAACAACUACUAACACUAUAUCCAAAUGAGUAAAGGGUUAAAAGAAAUUACAAAGAUAUCUUCUGAGGUAGUUGUUAUCUUCAUAUCCAUGACUGAAGAAACACUCAAAGCCUUAUGAAUUAAUGAAACCUCAGAAAAAUUGAAAUCAGUAGUUGGAACUGUAGGAAAAUCCAAUUCAAUAAAAUAGCACUCUCGUGCUUCGCCUUUCUGUGAAUUAGAGUCAUUCAUCGCCUUAACAUCUGGAACUUUUUUGGCUGUUAGAAUUCCAGACAGUGUGGCAAAUUCAAUUAUGUUGGAGUUUACCAAACCUCUCGAAAAAAGAGUGUGUGCAGCUGCUAAUGUUGCAUGACCACAAAGUUCAACCUGCAAAAAACUUAUCCUGAAAUUAAAAUACACUCUCCUUUGUGUUGGAGUAAGUGUCAUAUACAUAAAAAACUAUAACAUGAACACAUGAAAAUCUAUGAAGCUUAAUGAUCAGAAAUAAUAUCAUUCAAGAUAAAAAUUUAGCUAUAAUCUUCCUUCAGAACUAAAAGAAGCAUAGCACAUAAAUAAGAGUAAACAUUCCACAAUGAUGGAAUGAUGAAAAAACUAAAACCCCAUGAAAUAAGAUAAAUCAUCAAGCUCCAGAACUGAGCCAAAUAGCUUCAUCCACAACUUAUAAUUAUAAAAACUGAAACUGACCUCAGCAACAGGAGUGAACCAUCUAAGACGGAACCUCGGAUUAGGAGAUUCAGCAUCAGUAAGGCGAGUCAAGUAACAGGUCUCGGAGAUAUUGAACUCAGAAGCCACAGCUUGUAGCCAUUCUUCAUCUCUAUCUUCCUCUAACAAACAAACCGCUGCUGGGUUCCCCUUGAAAGCUGAGUCGGUAAAAGCAUCCACCUGUCAAAGCAACAAAAAGAACCCAGUCCCAUUCAACCACAACGGAACAUCAAUCUAUAAAUACAAAAGAGGAGAUUACUAUUAGUUACCACAGAAUAUUGUACGAGCUUCUUGGCCAUGUUGCAGAAUAAAGAAUGAAGUUUAGAGUUUGACACGUGAAACUUGGAGUUGCAAAAGGUGAAGAGCUGAAACCCGAAACUGAGAUGAAAGAAAUGGUCAACACCUAACAGCCGCCAACCUACUGUCUUUUUCUUUAUAUUUUUUUUCCUUUUUUUCCACGGUUCUUCCCCUCUCGGACGCUUGCCACAUUCGAUUGGACUGUGCAUGAUACAAUAAGAUUUGUUUUUCUUAUAAUUAUCUUGUAUUCUGCCUACUACAACCAACUGAUUAACUUAAUUUAUAAGAAAAGAAAUUUCUUAAAUUACAUUUAUUGUAAAGAGCAGAAUCAAGUGAGGCAACGGAUAAAUUUUAUUUGACAGUGAAUUAUAUUAAAUAUAAUUUAGAGAGAUUCAUAAGAAAAUGAGCCCCAAUAUGAUUAACGAACUUGCACAAAUUAUAUGGAUUCUUUUCUCUGAAAAAUGUCUUUGUUCUGAAAAACAUCAGAUCAAAAGAAACCAUAGCGAAAAUACACGAACAAAAACACCUCAAAUAUCUUCAGCAGAACAAGUAGUGAUCAACAAAAUACAGUCCAAUGAAAUUGGCUUACUGUUUAUUGUAUUACAAUGAAGUGAUUUUAUCAUAUAACAUUGGAUAUCAGAUACCACCAAAUUGGAUGGUACAAAUGUAAAUUUUAUCUUAAAGAUGUCUUGUACAAGGUAUCGAAACAUGAUCAAGAAACACUCCAGGGAAUCAUUAUUUGCACGUAAUGAUUGACAUUUAUUGGAGUUGAUCACACACGCAUAAUGGAAAUCACUUGAAAUCUAAACUAACAGAGAGCCUUCCAUCACAGUAAUAGCUUUUCCUCGCAGCUGCACUCUCUGAUUCUGCUUGUCUACAUGAAUGUUCAAGAUCCCACUUCUUGGUGAUGCCUGAGUCAGGUAAAAUGUAAUCAACAUAUAACAAUUAGAAGGAAUAUGAAUAGACAUAAAUUAGAGAGAAAUGGGUGCAAAGAGAGUACCGCAUAAGCCACAAAAUCACACUUUCCAAGCUUUUGACUCCAAUAGGUUGCCAAAGCACAAUGUGCACUCCCACAAACGGGAUCCUGAUAUAAACAAGUCAUGUACAUAUAAGACUGUUAUUAGAACUGUUUCAAUAUUGACAGAGUUUUUGAAAAUUAUUUCCAUCUUACUUAUUGGAUCCUAAACUACAGUACCAUACAUUAAAGAAAGUUCUUUGUUCUCUUACAUAGACACAUUACUUCAAAUGCCAAAAAUCCUUCUUGAAAUCAAAACAGAGCAAUCUACACUAGACUUUAGAGGCAAUAUAUGUUUCGAAGUUAGCAAAUGGGUGAAAAGCUAGUAGGAAAGGAGCAAUAAUUUUGUUCACUUUCAGCUGUAACAUUUCACUCAAUUUGCAGGCCUUAUUACUCAUCAGAUUUUCUAAAACAGAAACGAUAUUCAAUGCACAUCUCCAUGUAGCAUGAGUUAUGACAAAUGUACAUGCUCAUAAUACAGUAGUAUAUAAACUCAUUCAUUAAAACCAACGAGUUAUUACCUCAUUGAUGCCAAAUUUAGGGCAGAAGAAUCGGCUAUAAAAAUCAAAUCCAGACUCUGGAGGAGCAAGCCCUGAAACAAUUAUGCCGCUUCCAGGACAUUUUCGUAUUUGAUCAAACUGUGGCUCCACGUCUGUAACAGAUUUCGCCGAUGGGAGCACGACCUGCAUAUUGUAGCCAACUUCAUUCAGAACAACUACUAACACUAUAUCCAAAUGAGUAAAGGGUUAAAAGAAAUUACAAAGAUAUCUUCUGAGGUAGUUGUUAUCUUCAUAUCCAUGACUGAAGAAACACUCAAAGCCUUAUGAAUUAAUGAAACCUCAGAAAAAUUGAAAUCAGUAGUUGGAACUGUAGGAAAAUCCAAUUCAAUAAAAUAGCACUCUCGUGCUUCGCCUUUCUGUGAAUUAGAGUCAUUCAUCGCCUUAACAUCUGGAACUUUUUUGGCUGUUAGAAUUCCAGACAGUGUGGCAAAUUCAAUUAUGUUGGAGUUUACCAAACCUCUCGAAAAAAGAGUGUGUGCAGCUGCUAAUGUUGCAUGACCACAAAGUUCAACCUGCAAAAAACUUAUCCUGAAAUUAAAAUACACUCUCCUUUGUGUUGGAGUAAGUGUCAUAUACAUAAAAAACUAUAACAUGAACACAUGAAAAUCUAUGAAGCUUAAUGAUCAGAAAUAAUAUCAUUCAAGAUAAAAAUUUAGCUAUAAUCUUCCUUCAGAACUAAAAGAAGCAUAGCACAUAAAUAAGAGUAAACAUUCCACAAUGAUGGAAUGAUGAAAAAACUAAAACCCCAUGAAAUAAGAUAAAUCAUCAAGCUCCAGAACUGAGCCAAAUAGCUUCAUCCACAACUUAUAAUUAUAAAAACUGAAACUGACCUCAGCAACAGGAGUGAACCAUCUAAGACGGAACCUCGGAUUAGGAGAUUCAGCAUCAGUAAGGCGAGUCAAGUAACAGGUCUCGGAGAUAUUGAACUCAGAAGCCACAGCUUGUAGCCAUUCUUCAUCUCUAUCUUCCUCUAACAAACAAACCGCUGCCGGGUUCCCCUUGAAAGCCGAGUCGGUAAAAGCAUCCACCUGUCAAAGCAACAAAAAGAACCCAGUCCCAUUCAACCACAACGGAACAUCAAUCUAUAUACAAAAGAGGAGAUUACUAUUAGUUACCACAUAGUAUUGUACGAGCUUCUUGGCCAUGUUGCAGAAUAAAGAGUGAAGUUUAGAGUUUGACACGUGAAACUUGGAGUUGCAGAGAUGAAACCCGAAACUGAGAUGAAAGAAAUGGUCAACCUAACAGCCGCCAACCUACUGUCUUUUUCUUUACAUUUUUUCCUUUCUUUCCACGCUUCUUCCCCGUUUCGUUAAUCACGGACGCUUGGCACGUUCGAUUGGACUGUGCAUGACACAAUAAGAUUUGUUUUUCUUAUAAUUAUCUUGUAUUCUGCCUACUACAACCAAUUGAUUAACUUAAUUUACAAGAAAAGAAUUUUCUUAAAUAGUAGAAUCAAGUGAGGCAAUGAAUAAAUUUUAUUUGACUGUGAAUUAUAUUAAAUAUAAUUUAGAGAGACUCAUAAGGAAAUUAAAUAUACUAAUAUCAAUUUAUUAAUUAUUAAAUAAUUUUUAUUUAAUAAUAACAUUGAUAAAUAAAAUUUUUUAUUUAAAUUUUAUGUAUGCCAUUUCAUUUAUAAAUUCAUUGAAUAGAUGACUUGUCAAUAAAUUUUUUACUGUAGAAUAAAAAAUUGUACAAUUUAUCAUAUAUAAAUUCAUGAUAUAGAAAGUAUAAUUUCUGAACUUGUUAUGCGCGUAGAUAAAACUUCGUUACAAGGUAUCGAACAAUUAUCAAAUCAUUGUAUGACAUAUCGUUUCUAAGUACAUCACAUAGAUGACAUGUUCGAAAAGUUUACGGAACGCAUUUAAUAUGACACGAAUAACUUUAACACAUAGAUAAACAUCUCAUUAAUAACUGAUUCAACACCUGUAGGACAUGUUCAAAACUUCAAGGACCACAAAACCUAACCCACCUUGCAGGAAGCUGAAAUGCCACCAACGAAGCAAAUUAUUCAAAUAAACCCCUUCAAAUUCUAUGAAAAAGCCAAUCACCUGAACAAUUAUUUAGCCGUCAAUCCAGCAUAAAUUCAUCUGAAUAUAAGGGAAGAAAUGGCAUAACGUAUAUUAAUCCCUCAAAUAUAACAUAUUCUAAUUGAAGUCAAGCUAAGAAGUAACUUGACAAAUCCUAACUUAUACGGGUUUUUGGACGGGUAGACUAUAGACACCCCUGUUUUACAAAGCUGAUGAUCAAUAAACAAAUAUAAUUGAAAGUUGAAACACAGAAUUACAUUUCACUUCAUCCAAGGUUACAUGAAGUUGGUACAUGACAUAAUGUACAAUCUUAUUUAUGUACAACAAUGGGGAGCCCCAGCACCCAGGCACAUUACCAAAUCCCUUCCUUGGACAGUCUUAGAAACUGCGAAAGGGUAAUGCGGGGGAUCUCGGCUGAACCUUUUUCCUUCUUCUUAAUCCUUGUCAUUUUCAAAGAUUCCUCAUCCUUUGAUUCUGUAACUGUUACUGAGACCAAAUUAUAGAACUGUUCAAAAACAGAUUUUAUUACGGAUUAGAUGGUCUGCCUUAAUCUUCAGUAAACAAUCAAUCAACAAAUGCUCAUCGACCAUUAAUUUUACUAUUAUCUAAGAGAUCUCUAACAUCAUCAUCUGAUUACAUGGCUUUCAGUCCGGUAUGAAAUGUGGCCUCCAAAUGAAACAACUUAUGAGACAAGUUACCUCACAGACACCAUGCAGCAACAACCUAUGAAAUGAAUCUUGAACUCGUAGCACAAGCUCAUCUGCAUCUUUGCUCUCCUCAAUGAAGGCUCGUAUGCAAACCUGUGAUUAAAAGGAUUUUAACUCCUAAUAACAAUAAAAUCUGUUACCAAGCCAUGCAUUAAAAAGACAAAUACCAAGCAGAUAUACCAGCUGGUUGACACAUAAUUAAUACAGAAUAAAGAUGAGACUUUAAUAUUUUAAAUCCUUCAUAAAACCAAAUGGAUACUCUUACCAACGUAUUUGUUGGAUUAUAAAAAGUUAAUGCCAAACAGAUAUUAUGAUCCUUGCUACAGAGAACAUAAAAUGAAUUGCAAUUAACAGAGUAAAGAAUAAAAGGAUGAAUAUAAAUAUGUACCUCGAAGCCCUCAAUAAGUUCUGGAAGAUAGCUACGGCGAAAUGCAUCUCUUGUUCGACAAUCGAUUCUGCGCCAUGCAUUCAAGACAGCUAUCUUAUCAGUGUCAACAUGACAUUUCCUCUUCAGGGUCGAACCAUUUAAGGCUUUAAUGAUAUUAGCCUGCCACAAACAAAAAAUGAUUGCAGUUGGAGCAUUUUGGCACAUUACAUGUCAAAUUAGCACAAAGCAUUGUAUUGGAGUCUGCAUCCACACAAAUCUCACAAAACUGCAGGUUAUUCAGGCAUAUACUUUCUUGACAGCAGAAGAAAUUUGAAAGAUCAAAACUAGUUUUGGUGAUUAAGAGAAGUAAAAAGACCUCUUUAUCCAUGUCUAUAUUCCUGAAUUUGUCCCACUCUCCAUAGUUAGUCAUACAAAAUGGUGAUGGCGGCACUUUGUCACCUGCAAAAUGAACUCAAAAUCAAUGCUAAAAUAACUGAUUUUGCAAAUUACUGCCACAAAGGUGCAAGUGACUUCAGAGAUGCCAAAAAUAAAAGUUGUGCUCCUGUUGUUCCCCAACAGAAAGAACGAAGAGUGUACUUAAAUUUGCUGAGUAGUAUCAAAGUUAGUACACACACAAACAUACAAUGACUAUAUCCAAAUAAACUUAACUGUAUUAUGAUAUAAGAAUUUAAGCAAAUUUCCGUAUUGAUAAGAAAAUAAGAACCAAUCCGAACUCCACUACUGCAACACACACGGCUCACCUCAAAUACCCACAGAUAACUUGACACAAGAAAGACAACCUUAGUGUAAAUGUAAAGAAUUGCAGAAACAGGAUAGUAUUCAAUUCUCUUGCAUUCGCUUGUCAGCAAAUUUCAUAUCGGAACAACUUAACCAAAGUGGUAUGCCAAGUAAGUGCCCUAGGGCAACUUGAGAAGGCAGCAUGCUUGAAUGAGCCAAAAGCACACACAGACACAUACUGAUAAAGAUAGCAGUUAUUUGAGCAUUAUAAAUAGGAAAAUCAAGGCAGAAAAUUACCCCAAGGUGGUGGAGCAAACAAGCCUCUAAUUUCAUCGGCAUCUAACCGUGGAACAAGUUCCAUCAACAAACGAUCAUUUAACCACCUUCGAGACCGUCGAUUGCUAACCUGCAACAAAAUAAAAUGAGUCCCAAUAUGAUUAAUGAACUUGCACAAAUUUAAUGGAUUCUUUAUUCCGAAAAACAUCAAAUGAAAAUGAACCAUAUCGAACAUAAGUGAACAAAGACACCUCAAGUAUCUUCAGCAAAACAACUUUUAUCAGUAGUGAUCAACCAAAUACAAUCCAUCAGUGGGGACCCAAGUUAAGGUCACAUAGAUUGCACCAAUCAUAUGUAUAUGCAACGGGAAAACACAGUAUUUGAACAGUGUCACUUAAGAAGAAUCAAGUAUAAGAAAUUUGAGCUGUCGUCACACAACUGGACAAUUUGAUUCAAAAUGUAGAUCAAACUUAUAGUGGCUAUGUAAUCUUCUCAAAUUUACAUUACAGUAAUCAUUUGUAGGUUAGGAAAGAGAAUUACAUUUCCGGUUAAGCUCUCUAGAAAUUCGAUUUUCUUUUCGAUCGACAUUCCACGUGACUUCGCACCCUCUCCUGCUAAAAAAUAACACAAAAGAAUUAAAAAAAUUUCUCACGCAUACACGCGAGUGCAGAAUAUGUCUAGAAAUACGAUCUGGGUAUUGCAAAAUAAUGCCAUGAAAGAAAAAAAGGAAAAAGAAAAAAAAAGAACCUUUGCUGGGAUCAAGGAGAGGAGGCGAAAGAAGGAAGUCUUGCUCUCUCUCCAUAAUGUCCGGAGUCGCCAUAAUUGAUUGAUUUGGUUGAUUCAAUUGAUGAACGGAUAGAUCUGGGCUCUGCUUUAUCUCUUUGAUUGAGAAGUUUUGAGGAACUAAGACGAGAGUGAUUACGAUAAUUGAGAAGGCCGAAUGUUUUUUUUUUUUUUUUACCUUUCUUUUAUCUUUUCUGGCUGCGGUGGUACUGCUUAAAUGAAAACAGAGCGGAACGCAAAAACACAGAGAGAGAGGAAUAUGCGAGUUCGUGUUUGCGAUGCGGUUUGACUGUUACUUGCGACUUGUCCGCAGCCAAAUCUACCAGCCCUAUCUAUCUGCUCUCUAAUUUCCCUUCCUCGUAUUAAAACGUGCUGCUAAAGGUUGUACCUCUCUGUGCCGAACGUGGUUUUGACUUUUAGUUGAAAGACGAGGUUGUCUUGUCCCAAGGUGCAAUCCCCUCGUAGCUGAAAAUUUUGGAGCUUUGAAUUUGAUCAUCAGGGGACACGUAUGAAGAACGUGCACGAUUUAGGCAGCUGUACAUGUUUGUCAAACUCCAGUUGUAGACUUAUAGGGCUCCUCCUCCAUUCUGUUUUCUACUGUUAAAGGCAACGGCAGAUUGAAACUUAUUUGCCCGAGGCGUGCAAUCGGGAUGACGUUGGGUUCUUGUAGCAUUAUUACCUUUUCUUUUGUCUGCUUUGAAUUUUAAUCGGCCCAUCAAUAUGGCAUUACACGAUCCAGAUUCACGAUUAAUCCAAGAGUGAGACUAUUGGCACCCCUCUAAAUAUCUCUCAACACCUCUUUUCUUUAUUAACCCCAUUAAAAUAUUUAAAAAUAUUAUAAAAUUCUUUUAACACCCUUUUAAUGACAAAAAUACCCUUAGUUUAAAUUUAUUAAUAUAAACCCUGUUUUAAUUUUUGACCCCUGAUUGUGAUUUUUUUUUUUAAAGCACCUGAUUCUGAAUUUUGAAACAAUUAAUUAUCUAUUGAAAAAGAAAGAAAGAAAAGGAAAACAAAAGGAAAAGGGCACUUGCUCCAAGAAAGUUCUACUUUAAUGUGGCAAAUCAUUGAAACACCACAUGGCCAAAACUUUACUCUAUGCAUGACAACUCAUUGUAAUUGAUAAUGACCCUCGCAAACACUUGGCUACCAUGCGUGUAAUUCCUUGCCAAGUGCUAAUUUGGUUUACUGAUGAAGAUGCUGAGCACAAGCUUCUGAAAAUGCAGAAUCACGAAUUCUUCGAAAGACUGCGAACCUUUGUGGAGAAAGACAACUGGGGCACUGGAAAACAUGUCGGUGGGAAAAUAAUUCUGAUGAUCGUUCAGCUCGUCCAUUGCUUCAUAAUUACUUUCUUCUUUCUUAAUUUCUCUCAUGGGUCUUGAUUUCUUCCUAAAUCUUGUUGAUGAUGAGUGGCAUAUGUCGAUAAUUCCUCACCAGAAAAUAAGAUAAAAAGGUAACUUUCUUAAUUUUUAAAAUACUGAAUUUCAAUUUCAGGUACUAUUUAUUUUGUCUCUUUUAAGUUAUUUUUCAUUUUUCUGUUGAUAUUUUAAUAUUUACAGUCAAUUGUAGCAUUACUUAAAUUUAUAGUAUGUAGAUCAUAAUUCAUAAAUUAUUUUGCAGUUGGAGUAAACUCGAAAAUGUUAAAAAAAAAUAAUAACAACAAAAAGAGUAGAGACAGGUUGUCAUCUUGAGUAACAAUAAAAUAAAGAAUUCCAGCUUUUACAAAGUCUUUCUUUAAAAAUAUGAAACGAAUAAAAUGACUAUUAAAAUGGUUCAAAAUUUUCUAAUACUGUCAUUGACUAGCUAGAUCAAUUGUUUCUUGUGUGGUAACUUCAAACACCAAAUCCUUGAAAGCAAGUAUAUUAGUUUUGUAUGGUGUUGCCCAGCCUUCUACACAUGGUUCAUGAUAUUUGAUCCAACUAUUCGCAAUAGGAGGAAUAGGUGAAGCUGGAAGCAUGAACACCUGUAAAAAAAAAAAAAAAGCCAUAGAAAAAUUAGUCUAAUAAUUAAGAUAUUGUAGCAUAAUUUGAAUUUCUAAACUUUUACAUACCUCGAUGAAAUGAUUUCUAUUAACAAAUCCAAUAGCAAUGAUUUUAUGCGAGGAGCGUGAUAAUGGAAUAGAUCUAAGUGGAAGGAAUGUUAGAUUCAGCACAUCUGAUAUAUGUAGUAAUACCACAUUAUAUUUAGAAGCAAUAAUAUGACCAAUUUCAGGCAUGGUCAUCCAAUACUCUCUCCCUGGGUUAUUCUCAAAGUAUAAAAGUGAAUGAAGUAACUCCUCUGCUCUACCAGCAUAUUCAAAGACUCUUUUAUAAUCAUUAAAGUGACUUUGCAACUCAACAACUAAGUCUUUCCUGACUUGUGCUCAGUUAUCUUCACCAAUACCUAUUAGGCCAGCCACUGCCCGAAAACCACAAUUACCAUCUGCAGCAACAUCUCUAACACCACAAAUAUAAGGCCUCAAACCAAAUGGAAAGGAAUCAAUAUAAGAAGCAUGCUUUGGUGCUUUUGUUUGAGAAACACUCAUUUUUCGUUGCCCUUUUGGUUUUUUUUGUAGUUGUACUUGAAGACAUAAUGUCUGGAGAAUGAUUAUCCUGUGCGGAUACUACAUACUCAAAUCUUGAUGGAUCUCGGCGGGUAGAUUUAUCAAGCUUUUGGGAGGGUCGUCCUCGAGUCUUAGCUUUAACAGUUGGCUCAAUUAAAAAAGUUGAGGAUGGAUCAGCUAAUUCUUUCAGUUUUCUUUUUAUUUUCAUUUUUCCGAAACCAUCUGAAUCUUCAAAACCCUUGAUAAUCAUUUCCAUUUCAGGGGUACAACUCAACUCUGCUGAUUUUUCAUAGCUGGUGCAGACAAGGUCUAAUUUCCUCCAAUGCAAAUGUACAGAAUCUAAAUGUAUUGGUCGACCUUCACGCUUAUACUCUGCAAUUUCAUGUGCACACGGUAUCCCAUGAGUGUGUCGAACUACACAACCACAUGCUGAAAUAUCUAUACCAAUUAAAUCAGCUCUUUUUGACUCACUUAGUAUCAUAUCUAAUGCAUUUCUAGCAACUAAUCCCCUUAAUUCUUUAAAAACUGAAGGUGUGAAACUAUGUUGCACAGUAGUCAAACUCUUCUCAAAUGAUGCCUUAAUUUCUGUAUGUUGCAACUCUACUAAAGAAUGAAGUUUUGUCCAUAAUGUUACAAAGUUUCCUUGGGAUGAACAUAGUUGCCUUUUUUAUUUUGAAUGUGCAGUCUCAACCCUAAAAAUAAACCAACAAAAAAAAAAAUAAUAAAAAGAUAUAUAAAAAAAUGGUGUUGAGUUUAGUUAUAAAAUCAUUGAAAACUAAAUAUUGGUUACUUGUUGGUUGUCAUAUUUCCGAAAUGCAUAAUAAAGUCUGUCCAUGCUGCAAUAAAUUUUUCUUUAUACUUAUCAAGCCAUGUUUGCUUCACAUAGACAAGUGCUUUCGGAUAUCUAGCAUAAUCACUCUAAAAAAUACUCAAGUGUUGUAUGUACUCUUGUUCAGUGGCUGAGAACACCAGUACAUUCCAGCUGCUGUUAAAGGCUUCCCAUCUUUCAUUAGUCUCAAAUAGCCUCUUACAAUUAGCUAACACAUUUCUUGAAAUAUGCCAUCUACAAAGUAAAUUAGUUGCACUUGGAAAUAUCUUUUCAAUGGCAUUCAUCAGAGCUAAUUCCCUGUCUGUCACAAUCACAGUUGGUAACAUAUCAUCUUGCAUAAUGGUUUUCAAUCUUUCUAAUGCCCAAAUAUAGUUAUCUUCUCGUUCGGACUCAAGAUAUGCAAAACCAACAUUAAAUGUCAUUGCAGUCGAUGUGACACCAACUAUUUCCAACAACGGAAACUUAUACUUAUUGACUUUAUAAGUGCAGUCCAUUAUCAGAACACUUGGAAAAGCUUUUAACAAAUCAAAAGUAAGAGGAUGUGCCCAAAAUAUGUCUUUCAGACAAUUUGUAUCAUCAUCACUCCGAUGCCACUCAAUGUAAUUAUGAUCAUGCAAUUUACUCAUAAGCUGUUGCAUUUGUGACCGUCCGGCCAAUUCGCGAACCUUAUAUUUAUACCGAGCAUUAUAAACCGUCUUCAUUGUUGUAACAUUAAAUGUAUCCCUAGUCUUUAAAGUAUGUAAUAUCUCUUUUGGCCGAACAUUAUUUUUAGACAAAUCAACCAAUAUACUAACUGUUUGGGAGAAAUACGUCGACGAGACCAGGCAUGGUGAGCAGAUAUCUGAUGGCAGAGUUCUGCGAACCGGUGUGUUCCUUAAAAGCCUGGUGCGCGGGGGAACAGGAGCAGAAAUAUCCUGCUCGUCCACGAGCACGUCAUCCGCGAGGCCAAUUUCCUGUAAGAGGCAUAAGGCCAUUCCGGCUAGAGGUCGAGAGGCGAGGAGACCCGGUCGACGGCAGUUGGCAAGACAUGCUCUCCAGCCCGAGAAUCUAGGCACGACAGCCACGCUUUCCCCAGAACCACGGCGGAACACGCAAGAUCCCACGUUUGCCCAUAACGCAGCAUAACGCAGCAGUCGGAGUCCCAUACCGUCCCCCAAAAAGCGGAAACAAUAUCUCACAGAACCACGACAGCCACGCUUUCCCCAGAACCGUGGCGUAACACGCAAGAUCCCACGUUUGCCCAUAACGCAGCAGUCAGAGUCCCAUACCGUCUCGAAAAAAGCGGAAAACUGGGAUUCAGAGGAAGCCUAUAAAAAGGUAGCCAACGAAGGUAAAGGGGUUAGCAUUUUUGAGAUUAGAAAAGAAAUUCAAAAGAAGAGAAAACCACGAAAAAGCCAUAAGAUCUGUGGCAAGAGUUCCCCGAACCUUCAUAUCUGACUUGAGCGUCGGAGGGUUUGCGCCGGGAAAAUAACCGGCGUACUCUGACUUGUCUGUGUGCGCAAGAACCUCUGGAGAAGAAGUCUUGCGAGGAGACCUCCUGGUCGUGAUGAAGUUGAUCGAGCAGAGAUCCUGGUCGUAGAACGAGGAGAACCGGAAUCCCACAUCAACAUUUUGGCGCCGUCUGUGGGGAUGAGAGCAAAAAGCUUCUGUUGAUAGUAAGAAGAGGGGUGAAGCAAGUGAAAAGCAAUGGAGACAGGAGGAAGUAGUGCACAAGGGGGUGAUAGGAGGCUUAACGAUUCCGUGACGCUGAGGGAGAUAGUCAAUGAAGCACGGGAAAAAGUCAUGUUCGACCGGAUGGAACGGAUGGAAAAGCAGAUGGAGACCUUGACAACCAUCCUGCAUGAGCUGCGGAGCGAGCGAAGGGUAACCCAAGAGGGAAGGGUGAGAGGCGGUGGAGUGGCACCAGGUCCCGAUAGUGCGGGGAGAAGUUAAACCACCGGGAGAUUUGGUGGUGAGAGAGGUAACGUACAUCUGCGGGGAGAAUUUCAUAGAGAAAGAGGGCCGUCCCCGGCAAGACAGACUGGUGACGAGGACGACGGGGUGGUGAAUGCAGAGGAAACAGAGUUGAGGCAACACUUGCAUGAUGUAGAGCAAGAGUGGGAUCAAGUUGCAGCACGUGACCCUGGUCGUGCAGUGCAGCUGGAGGAGGAAGUGCGCAGACUAGCGCAGAUAAUUGACGACAUGCAAGGAAGGAACAGAGCCCCUGGUUGGAGGAUAAUGCUGGACGGAGAAUCAUCGCUCGCAGCAGAGAUCAUGAGGGCAGUUAUUCCGAGAGAUUUCCGCCUCCCAGACCUCAGAUACUCGGGAAGAACUGAUCCGCUGGUGCACAUAGAGCGCUUCAACGACAUAAUUGGGGUACAAGGAUUAUCUCAAUCCCAAAGGUGCAGGGUGUUCCCACUAUCCCUUGAGGGACGUGCACGAGAAUGGUACAGGAAACUUCCUCGGGGCAGCAUUAAAACCUUCGAGCAGAUGUGCCAGGAAUUCGCAGAGCAGUUUAGUGGGGCAAUGGCACCGGAAGAUGAAAUGAUGGAGCUGAAAAGCAUGAAACAUGGGGAGCAAGAAACCCUUCGGGAAUUCAUCAAGAGGUUUCAUCGGACUGUCCUCGACUUGGGAGCCUUCAACCACCCUCAGGCGUUAAGGGGAUUGAAAGAAGGGGUGAAGAUAGGAAGGCUGUGGUACAAUUUGAGAAGCCCAGCUAUUCAAACGUAUGCAGCCGCAUACGAACAGGCUAAGAGAGACAUCGAGAUUGAAGAGGAGAAUGCUGCACGGAUUAAGACAGACCAGUUAGAAGGGUUGGGGAGGAAAGAGAAGAAAGCAUUACCGGGGAAUGGGCCGAUCAGGAGGAGGGACCACCAGGCCUCCGGUAGUGGAGCAGGAGGUCGGGUAACUGCUUACCAGCCUCAUCAGAGGCCACCACAGUAUCAGCGCAGCAGGGCGCAACCUCCUCGUUCCCCAGCUAAGGAGCCUUGGAGAAGGCAUGAGUCGGCAUCUGGUGGUCUUCAUCAACAUCCCCACGGUAGCAGAACGAGCAGACUAGAAGUACUUCCACCGCCCCCAACUCAGAGCGGGGCAAACAGAGAAAGAGCAGUGCACCUGAUCGACCAGAACCCGGACUAUGGGCGGUACACUUCCUUGAAGAUGUCCCUGGAUGAGGUGUACGAGGCCAUAAAGGAUCGAGGGCUGCUGCACCUCCCUACACCAAUAACAAAGCUACCCAACAGAAGGGAUAGAAGACGUUAUUGUAAGUUUCAUGGCACCCAUGGCCAUACCACAGCAGAGUGUAGAGAUCUCAAGACCCAGGUCGAAGAUUUGGUGAGAAAUCGGUACCUGGACGAAUUUAUGGAUGAGACUUUCCCGAUGGUGGCCACAACAGGUGAAGGGGAGCAGAGUGGUAGAAACUUGAGACGCGAGCAGCCCGCAGUAAGGGUGAUAGCUGGGGGCCCAACAUUGGCCGGAGAUUCCAACAGAUCGAGAAAAAAUUAUGCUAGGUACGCCAUGACCAGUAAAGAGGUACUCUUCAACACCCCAGCAGCCAAACGAGCAAGGGUCAGGCAAGUGCCAAUCAUGUGGACGGAUGAGGAUGAGGAAGGGAUUCUAUACCCCCACGAGGAUGCUUUAGUCAUCAAGGCUACUGUCGCUAGCAAGAAGUUUGACCGGAUACUGAUUGAUACAGGGAGCUCAGUUGAUGUGUUAUUUAAGUCAACCCUGGAAGAGAUGGGAAUAGCCGACCGGAAGUUAGAAUACACCAAUACCUCCUUGAAGGGGUUCGGAGGAGGGAAGCUGGUCCCUCUGGGCGUGGUCGAGCUGCCUAUCACAAUUGGGAGCUCCCCGACAGAAAGAACAAUGAUACUAGGCUUUGUCGUAGUGGAUGAGGAAGGUCCUUACCAGAUGAUCCUAGGUCGGCCAUUUUUAAGGAUGAGCAAAGCGGUGUUGUCCAACCAUUAUCUGGCUCUGAAGUACCGGGUGAAUGGGGUAGUAGGAGUGGUACGAGGAGACCAGAGGAUCGCAAGAAGCUGCUACUCCUCGGCAGCAAGGGAAGCAAUGCAGAUAACAUCCCUCGAUACCCGAGUGGAAAACAAGAAGGGCAGACAAGAACCUGUGGAGGAUCUGGAAACAGUAAGCCUGGGACCAGAGAACCCGGGAAAGACGAUCAGAAUCGGGUCGAGACUUAAGGGAGAGCAAAAGCAGGAGUUGGUGAAAUGCUUAGAGGCUCAUGCUGAUGUGUUUGCUUGGACACAUGAAGACAUGCCAGGGAUUGACCCUGAGGUAGCAUGUCAUAAGCUGGCAAUAAAGAAAGGUGCUCGGGCAGUAAGGCAGAAGAGGAGAUGCUUCAACCAGCAGAGGUAUGAGGCUAUAAAUGACGAGGUGGAGAAGCUCUUGAGAGCAGGGUUCAUUCGGGAAGUCAGUUACCCUGAGUGGAUAUCGAAUGUGGUGUUGGUAAAGAAGGCAAACGGCAAGUGGAGGAUGUGUGUGGAUUUCACAGACCUCAAUAAGGCGUGCCCAAAAGACAGCUUCCCUUUACCAAAGAUCGAUCAGCUAGUAGAUUCAACGGCUGGACAUGGUCUGCUUAGCUUCAUGGACGCGUUCUCGGGAUACAACCAGAUCCCCAUGUACGAGCAGGGUGAGGAGAGCACGGCUUUCAUCACUAACCAAGGUUUGUUCUGUUACAGGGUAAUGCCAUUCGGUCUCAAAAAUGCUGGGGCCACCUAUCAAAGGCUGGUGAACAAAGUCUUUAAGCCGUUGAUUGGGAAAACCAUGGAGGUGUACGUGGAUGACAUGAUCACCAAGUCCAAAAUCCCGAAGGAACAUGUCAGACACCUCGAGGAGACAUUCGAGCUUUUGAGGAAGUAUAAGAUGAAGCUCAACCCGGAGAAGUGUGCUUUUGGGGUCGAGUCAGGGAAAUUCCUUGGAUUCAUGGUGAGCCAUAGGGAGAUUGAAGCAAAUCCCGAGAAAAUCCAGACGAUUGUGCAAAUGACGUCUCCUCGUAACCUGAAGGAGAUGCAGAGCCUCACGGGGAGGUUGACGGCGUUGAGCAGAUUCAUAUCCAAGGCUACAGAUAAGUGUCAGCCAUUCUUUCAAGUGAUAAGGAGGUGAAAGAAAACAGAAUGGACCCCAGAAUGCGAGGAAGCCUUCCGGAACUUGAAGCGAUACUUGCAGCAAGCUCCGCUGCUGUCCACACCGAGGGAGGGGGACAAGUUGUAUCUGUAUUUGGCGAUAUCGGAUCGGGCCGCCAGUUCUGUUCUGGUGAGAGAGGAAGAAGGAGUUCAGUAUCCGAUAUACUACACCAGCAAGGCCCUGCUCGACGCUGAGACCAGAUACCCACCGUUGGAGAAAUGGGCACUUGCCCUUGUGGUUGCUGCUCGGAAGUUGAGGCCAUAUUUUCAAGCAUUCCCGGUCUCGGUAAUAACAAACCAGCCAUUGCGUCAAACUCUGCACAAGCCAGAUGCCUCUGGUCGGCUCGUCAAGUGGGCUGUAGAGCUGAGCGAGUUCGACAUAGACUAUAAACCCCGCGCAGCGAUAAAAGCCCAGGCAAUGGCCGAUUUCGUAGCUGAAUUCACAGAGCCCGAAGUAUGCUUAGAUCAACAAGAUGCAGUUAUAGGCAAUGACGAAACUCAAGUAUGGCAGAUGUCUGUGGAUGGGUCAUCAGGGGAGCGGGGUUCAGGAGCAGGGAUUGUCUUGGAAGGCCCAGAGGGGGAGGAGAUCUCUUAUGCUGUAAAGUUGGAAUUUGCAGCCACGAAUAACCAGGCAGAGUAUGAAGCCUUGAUAGCAGGUCUGGAAUUGGCUAAGGCCGUGAAAGCAGACAGAGUUAAGAUCAGAACUGAUUCCCAGCUGGUUGCGAAUCAUGUCAGUGAAAGAUUCCAACCAAGAGAGGAGAAGAUGGAGCAGUACCUGAAGAUAGUCAGGAAGAUGAUGGGGAAGUUCGAAGCAGUGGAGGUGAUACAAAUCCCCAGGGAGCAGAAUAGUCGAGCAGACAUUUUGGCUAGGAUGGCAGCAGUAGCCGACCCAAAAAUGCCAAAGUCGGUCCCUCUGGAGGUGAAGUCCAGCCCAAGUAUCGAUCAGAAUUUGAGGGUGUUGCGGAUAGAACAAAAAUGCUCGUGGAGGGACCCGAUAGUUUCAUACCUUAGAGACGGGGUAUUACCACCAGAUAAGCUGCGAGCUCGCAAGAUUAAAGCCCAGGCCUCGAGAUACACGAUGAUUGAUGGGGUACUGUAUCGGCGAGGAUAUACACUACCGUUCCUUCGGUGUUUGGAUGAGGACGACGCGGAUUACGUAGUGAGAGAAGUACAUGAAAGAAUUUGCGGAAAUCAUUCUGGCGGGAGGUCCCUGGCCCACAAGGUUCUAAGGCAGAGAUAUUUCUGGCCGACAAUGCACCAGGAUGCGCAAGAGAAGACCAGGAGUUGUGUAAGCUGCCAGAGUUUUGUAAAUUUCUCUAACCAACCACCAGAGAAGCUCACCUCCAUGACCUCCCCCUGGCCAUUUGCUCAAUGGGGAAUUGAUCUGAUGGGCCCAUUGCCAAAGGCACGAGGAGCAGCAACACAUGCAAUAGUUGCUAUAGAUUACUUCACGAAGUGGAUAGAGGUAGAAGCCCUUAGCAGGAUCACAGAGAAGAAAACAACAGACUUCGUGUGGAGAAACCUGGUCUGUCGAUACGGGAUCCCUUAUGCCUUGGUAACGGAUAAUGGCAGGCAGUUCGAUAAUCACAGCUUCAGGGAUUUCUGCCAGAACCUCGGGAUAGAGCUGAAGUAUUGCUCGCCUGCUCACCCUCAAUCGAAUGGACAAGUAGAAGCAGCCAACAAGACCAUCAAGAGGCUUUUGAAAACCAGGCUUGGAGCAAAAAAGGGUGCGUGGGUUGACGAGCUGUCAGGUGUGCUAUGGGCAUACAGAACAACCCACAAAACCGCAACUGGGGAGACAUCGUUCGCUUUGGCUUUCGGACAUGAAGCGGUCGUGCCGGCUGAGAUAGGAACGACCACACACCGGACAAAUCAUUUCAAUGAGCAGGAGAACGACGAGCAGAUAUGUUUGAAUCUUGAUCUGCUAACGGAAAGGAGGGAGCAAGCAGCCGAGCGAUCAGUCAUUUACCAACAGAGGGUUGCUCGGUAUUAUAACCAGAAGGUGAACAUACGGCAAUUCAGGGUCGGAGACUGGGUACUGAGAAGAGUGAAUCAGAGCACCAAAAAUUCGACUCAAGGAGUGCUGGGACCGAAUUGGGAAGGGCCAUAUAGAGUCAAGCAGAUAGCGGGACCCGGAGCUUACAAGCUGGUUCGCACGGACGGCCACGAGGUGAAACGCCCAUGGAACGCAGCACACCUCCGAAAAUACUUCCAGUAAGACUUGUUCACAUUUGAAAGCUAUUUUUGCUCAUGUUCAUUAUCGUUUAUUUUUCACGCUUUAUGUCCAAAUAAUUUCAUGUAAGUCGAAUCCUGCCAUUAAUGGAACGUCGAGGAAUUUCUUUCGCUUGAAACCGAGAAAAUUCCCAAAGGCAUGCAAAGGCUCAACAAAGUCUCAAAGCCUGUCUUAUGGCGAGACAGAAGUCAAGCAUGCCAGGAUCUGCUCGGCCACGAGAAGGCGAGCAGAAUCCCAAUCCUCGAAGAAUCCAAGGCAUGCAAAGGCUCGACAAAGUCUCAAAACCUGUCUUAUGGCGAGACAGAAGCCAAGCAUGCCAGGCUCGACAAAGUCUCAAAGCCUGUCUUAUGGCGAGACAGAAGCCAAGCAUGCCAGGAUCUGCUCGGCCACGAGAAGGCGAGCAGAAUCCCAAUCCUCGAAGAAUCCAAGGCAUGCAAAGGCUCGACAAAGUCUCAAAGCCUGUCGUAUGGCGAGACAGAAGCCAAGCAUGCGAGGCUCGACAAAGUCUCAAAGCCUGUUUUAUGGCGAGACAGAAGCCAAGCAUGCCAGGAUCUGCUCGACCACGAGAAGGCGAGCAGACUCCAAAGCAUUCGAAGAAAUUCCUAAGGCAUGCAAAGGCUCACCAAGUCUCAAAGCCUGUCUUAUGGCGAGACAGAAGCCAAGCAUGCCAGGAUCUGCUCGGCCACGAGAAGGCGAGCAGAAUCCCAAUCCUCGAAGAAUCCAAGGCAUGCAAAGGCUCGACAAAGUCUCAAAGCCUAUCUUAUGGCGAGACAGAAGCCAAGCAUGCCAGGAUCUGCUCGGCCACGAGAAGGCGAGCAGAAUCCCAAUCCUCGAAGAAUCCAAGGCAUGCAAAGGCUCGACAAAGUCUCAAAGCCUGUUUUAUGGCGAGACAGAAGCCAAGCAUGCCAAGAUCUGCUCGACCACGAGAAGGCGAGCAGACUCCAAAGCAUUCGAAGAAAUUCCUAAGGCAUGCAAAGGCUCACCAAGUCUCAAAGCCUGUUUUAUAGCGAGACAGAAGCCAAGCGUGCCAGGAUCUGCUCGACCGCGCGAAGGCGAGCCGAAUCCCAGGCAUUGAAGAAUCUUCAAAGGCAUGUGGCAAAACCAUGAGCAAAGCCGGAACCUGCUCGUCUAGACAAAGACAAGCAGAUUCUCAAACGAAAAUUAAUUCAUAAUUACAACACAAGAAAGUAAUCAAAAAACAUUUUUAUUAAUUUGUUAAUAAUUAACAGAGGGGAUAAUCUUCAUGAACAUUGUUCAUUACAAUACAAGAAAUAUAUCAAGAAGAUGGUGGGUCAGUAAGCCCAGCAGCAUCGGUUGGCUGGACCUCCUCAGGUGCAGGAGGGGUAUCAUCAGUUGCGUCCGGGGGGGUGCUCGCCUCGCCAACAUCAGCAGGGACUGCACGAGGAGGAGAGUUUUCCUCCUCAAUCACGAUCGGCUCUACCCCUUCGGCAUCUUCCUUGGCCGCAUCCUCGUCCAUAUGUUGAGCAACACCAGCUGCAAGGUCAUCCAUCUUCAGAUCAGGGUGUUGCUUCCCGAGGACGGCCAUGAUGCAACGAUAGGAAUGCCGAAGUCACUGGUCGUACUGGUUGUCGGCCUCCCUCUCCAAGUUCUCGACCUGAGCUCAGUGGGAGUCGCGGAGAGAUUCGAGCUGAGCCUCAUACAUAGCCUUCUGCCUUUGUAGAUCCUCCUUGACCUUGGUAAGCUCCUCCUCGAGGGUAAUGGCUUUUGCUUGAGCAAGUGAUUCUUGCUCUAUCAAGGGUGGGACCUGCUGCACGAUGUUGGCCCGCUUUGCAGCAGGGGCAUCCUUACUCUGGUCCCUCUUCGUGGUUGGAGGUCGAGAACGUUUUCGGGUCAGAGCCCCAAUCACAGCGUCCUCCAUCCUAUGGCCAGGAAGUAUCAAGCGAGACUCGAGCAAGUUGUAUGUAGUUAACAGUUCUCGGCUCGAGCAGGAAUUGGCUAGUACAGCCUCGACCCGUUUGAGCUGGUCAGGUUCAAGCGGGAAGUGGACACCCCAAGAACCUGCAACACAAACAAACAUUUGAUUAGAGACAAACCAGUAAAGCGCAAACGACAAGGGAGACAAGACAUCUAAUACGAGCAGGCAACCUGGGACCACGAAACGGGGUGGGACGCGGAAGUCCUCCCCAUCAACCCGUGCAACUUGACCCCAGGGACCCCCUGCGAAGAAGAACUUCCUCUUCCAAUUCCCACCACCACCAGUAGGGAGAUCGGUUAUGGGUUUCCUGGUCUUGGUACUUGAUUGGAAGUAAUACCAGCCGGCAUCUUUUGGGCUGCUUUUCAGCUGGUACAGGUGCAUCACCUCGUCGACCGUGGGCUCGCUUUGACAACAUCUGUCCCACAGUAUGAACAGACCAGAGAGCACUCUCCAACCGUUUGGGUUCAACUGACCAGGAGAUAGAUUCAACCCGCUAAGUAUCCGGGCAAAGUAAGGUUGCAAGGGACACCUCAGCCCAUACUUAAAGCUAUCCAGAUACAGGGUAACAUAUCCCCUAGGAGGCCGGCUAGGGGUAUCCUUCUUGCCUGGGACCUUGAGAAGUAUUUCACCAGGAAUGCUGUACCUAAGACGGAGGUCAGCGAGCUCGUCAAACGUGGUCGUGCACGUCAUAUAGUCGAUGGCAUAAUCACGCAACAAGGCUCUACCCCCUACUGUACCCCGUCCUUCUGGUCGUGACGUUCCAGAUGGAGACACCUCACCAGAGUCACCUUUGCCAUUCUCACUCAAAGUAUCCUCGGAGCCAGAAGAUCUCUCCUCACCAUUACUUCCGCUCGUAGAGGUUGUUUGGGGAGACAUCCUCCUAGCACUAGUCCCGACACUAGACCUAAUGGGCUCUAAGGGGAUCCCGCGGUCAAAAGCAGGAUCGGUGAGCAGACUAGGCAGGAAGUCCAACUCGUCGUCAUCAACCUCAAUGACCUUCUCUUUGCCUUUCGACAUUCCCUAAACUCUAACCACAACACCACCAACUACUACCCAAACAGAAGAGAAGAGAAAUUAUCUACAACUAUCCGAAACCAAGGAGAUAGAAGAAAUACCUGAAGUAAUGGUUCAGUCGGUGAAAAUCAGAGAUGGAGGCCUUUUAUGCCGGAACUUCUUUGCCGGAGAGACAGAGACGGAGACGGAGUGAAUGAUGAAUAUGUCGUUCGAGAGGAUUUGGUUUUCCUAAUGAGGACGGACUCUUGGGUUGCCAGCAUUUAACAGCGCCGAAUCCCGAGGGUCUCAUAACCGUCGGUUUGAAAUUCAAAUGGAGGGGGGGAUUUCUGCCACGUCACCUCGUCCGCAAUUAAAUGCGACAUGACUCUUGGCAGCCUUUUCCAAUCCCACGCGAGCGAGUACUAACGAGUUUCUACUGCUGGUCCACUACAUUACCCAACACCAGAAACUGGGGGACCGGUGUUUGGGAGAAAUACGUCGACGAGACCAGGCAUGGUGAGCAGAUAUCUGAUGGCAGAGUUCUGCGAACCGGUGUGUUCCUUAAAAGCCUGGUGCGCGGGGGAACAGGAGCAGAAAUAUCCUGCUCGUCCACGAGCACGUCAUCCGCGAGGCCAAUUUCCUAUCAGAGGCAUAAGGCCAUUCCGGCUAGAGGUCGAGAGGCGAGGAGACCGGGUCGACGGCAGUUGGCAAGACAUGCUCUCCAGCCCGAGAAUCUAGGCACGACAGCCACGCUUUCCCCAGAACCACGGCGGAACACGCAAGAUCCCACGUUUGCCCAUAACGCAGCAUAACGCAGCAGUCGGAGUCCCAUACCGUCCCCCAAAAAGCGGAAACAAUAUCUCACAGAACCACGACAGCCACGCUUUCCCCAGAACCGUGGCGUAACACGCAAGAUCCCACGUUUGCCCAUAACGCAGCAGUCAGAGUCCUAUACCGUCUCGAAAAAAGUGGAAAACUGGGAUUCAGAGGAAGCCUAUAAAAAGGUAGCCAACGAAGGUAAAGGGGUUAGCAUUUUUGAGAUUAGAAAAGAAAUUCAAAAGAAGAGAAAACCACGAAAAAGCCAUAAGAUCUGUGGCAAGCGUUCCCCGAACCUUCAUAUCUGACUUGAGCGUCGGAGGGUUUGCACCGGGAAAAUAACCGGUGUACUCUGACUUGUCUGUGUGCGCAGGAACCUCUGGAGAAGAAGCCUUGCGAGGAGACCUCCUGGUCGUGAUGAAGUUGAUCGAGCAGAGAUCUUGGUCGUAGAACGAGGAGAACCGGAAUCCCGCAUCAACACUAACCUCUUCAUUAGUAAGUCUACCUGCAAAUGAGUGGCCCUCAAGAUAUUGUGCAGAAUGAUGGUUAUGCAAUCCACAGAUUACUUUUAACACCCAAUCUUGAUUAUUCGCCAACAUUUGACCCUUUAAUAAAAAUGGACAGCCACACUUUUUUGUUCCAAUUGCAUUCGGUCUUUUCUUCUUUUCCAAGUCGCUAUUCUGCUUAGACAUGCUGGUACUUCUUUUCAGAUAUGCACCACUUCUUUCACAAGCAAAAAUUAUCCUUGGUCUCCUUCCAAUCACAUUCACGUCAGAUCUUUUAAUAACAAUCACAAGUCCAUUUUUUUUUCCCAACAUCAUGCGUCCAUCGAAUCAACUCUUCUCUACUGGUGAAAACCUAUGAAAAAGACAAUAAUAUAUUAGUUAAUGAUACAAAGAAAAGAGAAUAUAUGUAUGAAACUUUAUUUAGCAUUUUACCUCUUCAGUAGUGAAUGCAGCAAUGUAAUCCAUAACAUCUACUUUAUUAUCAAGAAUGGCAACUAUGGUAGAACUUUCCUCCUUCACAAUCAUUGUAAGAUAUUACAUAAGUUAAUACAAGACACAAAACUCGAAUAAUAGCAAUUUAUUCAGCAAUAAUCAACCAAACAAUUGACAUUUGUUAAGGGAUAUUUGUUGAACAUUGUUCAACGCUCUCCCUAUCAUUAUAAUUCUGAAACAAUAAAUUAAUAGCAAACUUACUUUUUUAUUAUCAUCCUCAUCUGUUUGCAUGAUUAUUUUGCCUUAAAUUUGAAACUCUUAGAUUAGGGUUUAAGAAAGAAAAGAGAGUUUAUAUCGUAUGCCACACAAAGAAUUUAAAACUCUUAAACAAAAAUAUGCCGUAUAAGAAAUUUUUAAGGGGAAAAAAAUAUUUGAUUUUGAGUGGGGGUUUAAUUAGAAAUUGUCUUAUUAUGUAAUUUUAAUAAAGGUUAAAAUUGUAAAAUAACUAAAGGGGUGUUAAGAGGUAUUUAGAGGGGUGCCAAUAGUCCCACUCUUAAUCCAAUAUAUGGUUGGUCUGUAUGGCACAUGGUAGAUAGUUUGGCUGCCGGCCCAUCGCGAUGGUCCUUUUCUUUAUUUUAUAUUUCGUGUUAGGAUUUAAUCUAAUGGUUAAGGCUAUGAGAUUAAACAAUUGUAGAGUUAAACAUUAAAGUAUUGAUAAACACUAGUUGAUGUAGUUUAAAAAUUAAGUUAAUUUAAUCUCACACUUAUUUGAUAGAAAAUUUAUAAUAUCUUUAUUAUUUUUGUUAAAAUUAUUAUUAAAAGUAAUAUUUACUAAAUGCUAUCAACUUUUAUUUAUAAUUAUAGUUUUUUUUUUUAUAUUAGUUGUAGCUUAAAAAUUACAAUACUUCAAUACUAAAUAAGUCUUAAUUCCAAAAUCCAUAUAAUAUAUCUUAACUAAUGUAACACACGACUCGUCUUCAUCAUAAAAUAUUAUGUUCUACAUGCAUAAAUAUAUAUAUAUAUAGAUAGCAAAAUUUAUUAUAGAAUAUCAACUUCAUUUGAUAUUGAAAAGUGAAAACAACAACAUAUGCUUCUUUGGAAAAAAAAUGAAAAAGAAAAAGAAAAUAACAGCAUAUGACUAAAAAAAAACCAACAAUUUUUCUCAUUAAAAAUAAUAUGGUUAUUAUUUUUCAUGGCAUAUUUCGUAUAGGGAAAUAUCCAUUUUUGUAGUAAUGCGCCGUCUCAUUCUAAGAAAACAAAAGUUAACGUCUCACUCUGAGAAAACAAAAGUGGAUAAUUCAUUCCCCAUUUCCACGUUUAAGGGGACAAAUAUGGCAUUUCACAUCCGGUCCUUCACUAUCUCCAAAAUGCGGAUACUACAUGGCUGCAACAAUGUACGUACAAGCCAAUCCCAGAAGCAAAGGUGGCAAAGGGCAAAGCUCUUUCCUUUGGUUUUUCUCUUACAAUUAAUAUUAAUAUCCCCCUCUGUGUCUCACAAAACCCUAACUCCGCCACCUUUAAAUCCUUUGGGUAAGUUUCUCUCUUAUCUGUAGAAUCUCUAGGUGUGCAUGUAUAUAUAUAUAAGCAUGUAUCAUGUUGUUUUCAGUAGUACUAAAAAUGACCUUGCUGUUAUACUACCUUAUCACGUCUUUAUGUAUAACUAUCAAACUUGAAUAUAUGUUUUUCUUCUGAUAGGUCUAUGUUUAAAUGAGCAUUUCAUUUAUAUGGGUGGGUUUCUGUUCGGUUUUUAAUAUCAUAUAUAUGGGAAAUUUCUUUGUAGCUUAAACUUGUCUUAUGUUAUGUGAUUUACAGCCAGUUGAUUUCCCUUGAAAUUGGAAUGGACUAAUAUUGUUGUAUUAAAAAUUUCCAUUUCUUUUCACUUCGUCCGAUCUCGGAUGUCAAAUAUGCAUGAUUCAUUUUGUAAUCUAUUUUUCUAUUUUUUAGAUUAACUAAAUAAAGAACUUUGUAUUUUCGGGGGGAAAAAAAGAUGCUAAUAAAUAAAUCAAGACUGUUCUUUCUUGACUCGCUGCAUUCAUUGAUAUCCUGUGAUUUAAGCCGUGUCUUCAUAAAUGUGUUGUUUCUCUACGUCUUAGCAUCUUAUACCAUUUAGCUUGUCUGGUUUUAAAUUUCUGAUCAAAUUAAAAAAUUUUGGAAUCGGUCGAUUAAUUCUAUAUAAGACUCACUCCUCUGCUUUUUGUCACUUGUUUACGGUACUUACCACUCACAGUAAUUCAUGCUAUUUUACUGUUUACUAGUAACUAAGGGUUGGAACUUGGAAGGUUUGGCUUAAGGUAUAUAGAAUGGAAGGACAAAGUGAUCAGCAGAAAUUUCAGUGGUUGAUGUUAUCAAAUUUUAAUGGGAAUGCCAAUGAUGAGUCUCAUGGACCUGGAUAUGAUCUAAACCAACCCUUUGUUGCGGAAGCUGGAUGGUAUGGGAACCAGCAUAAUUCUCUGCCUUUACCUCAGUGGCCAUACAGCUGGAAAGCUCCUCGCAGCUACAUUGAUUUGAUUGCAGAAAGUUCCACAUUUCUUGAAAAUGCUACUGGUGCAGAUAUGUUAGAGUGUAUUACUUCACCUGUUGGUGGCGGUCACUCUGUUUAUGGAGGCUCUGAAAUCCAAAGAGAACUAUUGUUCAACAAUCUUGGGAACCCUUGCGGUCGUACACCUCCUUAUGGAGACUCUGAAAUCCAGAAAGAACUAUUGUUCAACAAUUUUGGAAAUGCCUGUGGUCAUGCACCUGCUUAUCCAUUCUUCGACUUGGAUGCUUCAAAGGUAAAGCCAUCUUCCUAGGUGCUUUAUGGGGCAACAACCAUGAAACUGAAAUGUCUGAUUGGGUAUGUGCUACAGGUAAGAUUUCAGAACCCAUAUGAUGUUGUGGAAUCACAAAACAGCAACUUUAUGUUCUUCCCGCAGCAGAUUCUUUCUCAGGUUUAUUUCAUCCAUUAAUAUCUCUAUUUCCAAAUACAAGCUGAGCAUAUUAUCUCAAGCAGUCAUUAAACUUGAGGACUUGAUUUUUGAUAGGUAGAUGCCAAUAUCUCGCACCAGAAUCAAACUUUAUGGAGACAAGAACCAUAUGAAGAAUGUAAUGUGUCUCAACUUUAUCCCAGGGUAACAGUUGCUCCAUCUAUUUACCUUUCCAAACAACGAUCCAGGGUAGCCAGUGCAUCUUAUCGUGCAAGUAGAAUACCCUUCUCAGCCAUUGCAGAAACUAAUGUAUCAACCCCUAUACUCAACGGACCAACAAAUAUGGUUACAAUCAGAUAAUUCAUUUUACUAAUUUUUCUCAUUUGGAAUAAAAUAAUAGUCGUUUUAGCACUCUGACUAAAGUUUAUUUCUGAUUCAGUGUCGCAAGACACGAAGAGCUGAAAGAAUCAGAGCAUUGCAAGAACUGCUUCCUCAUUCUGUAGAGGUAAUGUGUCAAUGCUUUCACAGUUAUCGUGACAAUUAACAUGUAUGCAUGACACAAGAAGUUUUUCAAUUAUGUACUCUUAAGGUGUGCUGCAUAUCCUGAUGCUAAUUCCCUCAUACAUUGUCUUUUACAUAUAAAAAUAAUAGCAGAAUUUUGUUAUAUGUUUAUUACGUACAGUACUCUAAAGAUGCCAUUGUAAUAAGGAAAUGGCGUUAUGUUGUGUAUGCUUUUUGGGAUCCCAAUGUCCGUCGUCACGCUAUGUCUAGUUCCAAUGAUUGUGGAUGUGAAAUUUUAAAGGUGAGCACUGGUUCAUUUUUGGUUUUGCAGGGCGGUCAUGCAGCUGUGGUGGAUGAUACCAUUGACUACAUCAAGUUUCUACAGUCACGAGUGAAGGUAUGGCGUACCCUGAGGUGCCAUUUUACACCACUCAUGCACCGACAGUCACUUACCAUAUUGACAUGUAUUUCUUUCUAUGUGCGAAAUUCAAUACAAGCGUAUGGUUCAAACUUCAAAUAAGUUGAAUCCGAUUCUUCGUUGCUUUCAUUUGCUUUAACGACAGUUCCAGCGAUCUUAAGAUAAAAAUUUACUUCCAUAGGUGCAUAUCUAUCGUAAACAUUUUGCAAUGAUGGUGUAGAUUUGUAUGUUUAUCAAACCAUAUCAUAAUAUUAAGGAAGUAAUUUGAAAAGCAAACUCAAUUCUGCAGGAACCAAGUCAAAGCGGAUUCGAAUGCCAACCAACUUCAGAUCCUUUCGUUUUCCUCGAGGUAUUAAUUACCAAAGAGUAAUUAAAACUCAAGCAAGCUCACUGUGUAGCAACCAAACACUGAUGCUGAUUAUUUGCAGGGAUAUGGCCACUACAUUCUCAAUGAACAGAAUACAAAUGAACCAUUUGAAGAGAUGGUGGCAGAGUUGCCAAAGAUGAAUCCUUCAGCAGCACGUCAGUUGUUGGAGAGCAGCGGCCUAUACCUGAUCUGAUGCUCAUGUCUUCGGCUGAAGGGUAACGCUUGCCAAAGCCAAAAAACCUCAAAGAUGCCUGACAAUCCUAUCUAAACUCAUGGUUUUUUUGAAUUAUGUGAAUUUGUCUUUUUGAAUGGUUAUGCUAGCCCUGAGCUGCUUUUAUUGGAUGCUAGAAAAAGAUCAAAAUGCAGAAGAAAAAGAGAAAACAUUCUUCUCGAAUCUUCUGAUGCUUUGCGGUACUCACUCCUGCUGACUCACAUUUAAAUCAGCAAACGAAAGUAAACAAGAGUAGAAUUAACAUUAAAGAAAUUUGAUAUUAGUAUUCUGUAUCUCGCAAUCUAUCCUCGUUGAUCUGUCUUACUCAUGAGAGGCCUCUAAAGAUCCAAGGGAGACUCUGCCCCAGCGGGCAGCAUUGAUUGGCCCAUGAUGCACUUUUCACCAUUCUCAAUCAGUGAUUUGUCCAACGAAGCCUUGGCAACUUUAGCAACACACACCAUCAGAAUCACUAUAUUGAAGCAGCAACAAAUAGAAAAGGUCAGUACUUCUACAUAACCUAACAACAAUUUCAGGGGAAAUCCUGCUCAAUUUAAACUAAUUUUGUAUCAAAAAUAGGAGAAGAGUUGACAAAUCAAGAAUUGACGAUAACUAACCAGAUAUCACAAAGCCGAGUACCAUAUGUACCUACAUCCACAAGAAAUGCAGCUUAUAAAACCAGUAAGGAUGACAGGCAACAUCCUACACAGAGUCAGCAACCAUGCAUAAAAGUAAAUUUCAUUUAAAAAACUGAAGUCAAUCUAAUAUGCCUUUUAUCUAUUGGAGACUGUAAUAUAGCCUCAUAUUAUCAGAAUAAGAGGGCAUUAUGCUAACCCAUCGAGUUGCUGAAAUCUCAUUCCAUCCAUGUGUGACAUCAGAAAGAUCCUUCAAAGUCGUUCCAACAUAUACCAGAGAAAAUGUACUUGGCUGUCACAAGAAGCAAAAUCACGAGUUCAGUAGUCAAAUGGUUUUUUAAAACUGAGUUAUUUAGCAAGCUUGAGCCCAUCAUUAAUGGUGAAAGCCCAUAAAAUAUUGGAAUGUUAAAUUACCAUCAUUCCCAACCAGGAUGCCAGCAUGUACUUGCCUGUGUGAACAGGAGUUACAGAUAGGAGAUAAUUCAAGAUGUUAAAUGGAAGCAAGGGAACAAGCCGAAGCAGGAAAAUUAUCUGAUUGCAAAAUCGAAAGAAAAAGAACAAAAAAUUAUAAGUCAGAGGAAAGGAAUUGCAUUUUUUUAAUAUAAAGAACAUAUAAAAUAAAAAAUAAACACACGAGUAUUGAUCAAAGAAGAAUCACCACAAUAUUUCAGACAGCCAGAAAGUAUAAUCUCAUAUUCAUAUUUAAGUACUUAUCCAUAUUGGAAUAUAACCUGUGUCAUGGUAUCAGUUAUACGAAAUAACUUGAUUGCAGUCUCUACUUGAAUAGCCAAAAAUGUAUGAUACUUGUAAAGAUUAAUCAGCUUUUGCUGUCUCUGUCUUCAUGCUUCUUAUCUAAAAUUUCCCAACCAGUAUGAGGACUCUCUAGCUUCACUUCAGUUCUCCAAAAUUCAAUCGAUUUUGAACAGCCACAUAAGAUUACACAAUUGAAGUCUUAUAAAUUUUCUGUGUGCACAGUGUUUUGGAGACUUCUUUAUGCAAUUUCUUUAAUUGUUAACUCAAAAAGGUAAAUGCUAUUGACCCUAUUAUCAAUGUGUCUAAGCUCAACCGAAGAUGAGAAAACAUGAUGCCAUCAGCAUUGCUGUUGGCAAAGUUCACUGGGUUAACGAUAGAUUUGUCAGUUUUGUUUUAAUGGUUACUUAUGAUAAUUAGUUGCUGUAAUUUUCAACGAUCAUUGAACAUAUUCAUCAGCCACUGGAUAAAUGAAUAUAAACAAUUGACAUUAACAAAUCUAAAUGGAAGUACGGAUAAACUUUUCCCAAUAAGCUUCUGUGAGAACUCUUGCCUUAAAGCCAGAUUUCUGGAUUGCCCCUGCAACAGCCUGAAAUUUGGGAUAGUUCUUCAACUUGGAGAUGACAAAUGAUCUUCCAAACUGCACUACAGCACAAACUAAGAAGUAUGUAGGUCUACAAAUGACAAAAACAUAACAAGAAGAAAAAACAUGUUUUCAGAAAGAAAAAUGUUGCAACAAUUCUUUAAUAUAAGAAAAGAGACAGACUCUUUACUUAGAAAGACUCAAAUAAACAGAAAAUAAAAUUAAAAAAGGUGCAGAAAUAUCAGUGUUCAGGAAAGUAAAACAGAAAUGCAUUGCUGUCUUCCUCAUGUUUCUGGGGUUAAAGGGAUGAGGUGCUUGCCUUACCAAGAAAUAUUGCAGUUGACCCACACACGCACACACAAAUGAUAAUAUGAUCUAUAACUCACAUGAGCAGGGGUAGAGGAACUCACUGUUCUACCAAUAAGGAAUGCAGCUGUUGCACCUAUUGUUGCACCAACAGAAUCAGCUAUGACUCCUAGUGGCAGUCCAAAAAGAUAACCGCCUCCAAGCUGGAAAAUGCAGGACAAAAGGAAAAAUGACAAAGAAACUGCCGCAUGAGGUCAAAUCUUCAAUAAAGUACAAAAAAAGAAACUGGGACAAACAUCACUCUUGACCAAAAUUAUUUGUACACAUUUUUUCAAUGAUAAAUGAAAGCAGAAGAAAACUGCUCUUCAUAGAAUCUCAAAAGAAACAAAAGAAAGAAUCCAAAUUAAACUUACUGUCAGUAUCGAAGCAGGAAUUGCUAGGACAGUGAGAGGAACAUAUGCGAUGAUCCUGUAAAAUUCCAGAAAAAAAUAUUAGAUAUAUAUGACUGGCAACUACUUGUACUAAUGUUUAUUCAUUCAUGGAAUGAAGCCUUAGUUUCUUCCAUCUCAGAAGAAAUCAUAGCGUACUUAUAUACAAAUUGCUAAUCGUUGAUUCAUCGCCAGAGAUGGCUUGGCUUAGAAUCAAUAGUUCAUUAUUUAAUGAUUUUAUUAUAUUUCCACUUGGGUAAUAUCAGAAAUAGUUAGUAACCACACUCAUCAAGUAGUUUCUGUUUUUUAUCAGUGUAGUACUUUGCUUAUGCUAGAACCUUAAUUAAGGUGAUCAGCAAGGAUGACAUAAUGGAAGAUGAAUUUCAAACAUUUAUUGCUGAGAAAUGGAUGCUAAUUGUGGCCUAUGGGAGAAACUUACAACACAAGCGGACCCCAAGGCCCAAGAUCCUGCUUCAUCCAUAUCAAAAAAUCCUUCAAUAUCUGUAAAAACAAACAAUUUUUUUUUCUUAAUAAAAAUAUCACAGAUGAAGUAGAUUGUGAUAGUAACCUAUGACUAGUCUACUUAAUAGCCAUCCUUUAGAAAGGAUAUGAACGGCUGCCCAUCUGUUGGGCUCUCCACAGAUCCUGCACCCGACACGUGACCAGGUAGUGCCUUCUCGGUGAUGAAGGCCUUCCACAAGAGCCUUCCCCAAGGAGUGUCUACUCUUCUGAUACAACUCGUCUAAAAUUUGGCUUGUGCGGAGGAGGAAGGAACCCAAGUGCCUAUAAGGCCACCUGCCAAGGCUUUGCUAAAUUAAGCCAUAGCUUAGCAAUGUGGGACAAAAUUAGAGUCCCAUAUGUUUUUGAGAAUGUAACUUCAAAUGAAAUAGCCACUAAAGGCCUAGUCUAGUGGUGUGAUGCCCUCAACAUUUCUUCCUUCCUGGGUAUGGACAUAGGUCUCAUCACUAGUCGAUACUGAUUUUUUAUCUAAGCUUAGUUUGGGAGUUUGGGCACAACUCGGUCUCUGAAGACCCUAGGCUAUGUGUUAUUAUUAUAAGCGUAUAAAUUCAUACUCUACCGUAAUAAUUGAAAUGAAAAAAUGGAUCACAACAAUACCGAAACCCUGAAAUUGCUUACAGUGCACCGAACGUUCACUUAAAUUGUAAACAUGGCACCGAUUUUUCGUUAUUUUUGUGGACCAUUUGUUGAGCGCUUUGUCUCUUUAGCAUUUUCGGAAAAGAAAAAAAAAUAACUGAAAUAGCCAGAAACAAACACGUGCAAAUUUAAACAAGAUAUGCAGAAUGAUAGGGGAAAAAAAGAAAGGAAAUUAAAUGACAUAAAACACGUGCCUUUUCAAUGGGAAGGGAAAUGCAGGAGACGAGAAGGACGGCGAGGAGGAGGAACAAGACUCCGAUUCGAAAGGCGGAGGCCCAAGUGAGAAACGUUACACCCAUUUUUGGUAACAGAAACAGGCACAGCCUGCUGGGCCCAGGCCUCUGGCUCAGCUCGUCUCCGUCGUCCUUUCGACCGUUGGCGCCACCUUGCUUCAACGGUGCCCGCACCCGUAAUCCUUCCACGUUCGCCACUUUUAUUUAAGGUCCGUUGGUUCUCUUCUCCCAAUUUAAGCCACGAAAAAUCAAAUCAAUUACUAUACUUAGACGUUGUUUUUAAUUUGUCAAAUGCGAUGCGGCAUAUCCAUUUGCUAAAACCAAAUAUGAAUCAUGUAAUAAUAACAAAACCAACACAAACUAGAUGACGCCUGGCUAUAGAAUUGCAUGCAUGGGGGCCAAGUGUUUGCUAAGUGUCAUCAUCAAUUAGAAUGAAUUCUCAUGCAUUGGAGCAAAGUGUUUGCUAUGUUUUGUUUCAAUGAUUUGCCACAUCAAAGUAGAAGUGACGUGGAGCAACAGUUUCCUCCCUUUUUUUUUUUUUUUAAUGCAUGAUUAGUUCUUAAAAUCCACAACUAAAGAAUCAACAAAAUUAUGAACAAAAUAAGGAGAAAUUUUAAAAUAUACGAGAGAUAUUAUGUUAUGUCAGUCUUAUAAUAAGUAAAACAUAUUAUAUAUAUAUAUAUAUAUAUAUAUAUAUAUAUAUAUAUAUAUAUAUAUUUAAAAAAUAUUAUAUAAGUAAUAAUUAUAUUAAAUUUAAAUAUAAAUAUUAUAUAUGCAUUAAUGGAUUAUAUUAUCUCGACGUAUUUUAAAAUUUCUUUUAAAGAAAAAUAUAAUAAAUUAAUUUUUUUAAGAAAAAAGAACUCAGAACCAAAAUUUUCUCAUACCUAACUUUAUAAUCUUCAGUUUUCCGGCAAUCUUUCAAGAGACCUUCUAUGCACCUGCCUUCCACAGAGGCAGAAGACCCUAGAUCGGGAAAAGUAUUUCAUAAACAAUAAAGGACUGAAUUGAAACUUUCUGUCAAUGUUUAUAUAAAGUUUACGUUUGGCUCCACUCAUAUUUAUAUAUUAAGAAAUAGAACCGUGCUUUGCGUGACUUUAAAAAAAGAAUUUAAUAUUAUUAUUUUUUUCUUAUUAUACUUUUAACAAUUUAUUCUAUUCGAUUAAGAGGCAAGACUUCCAAAAAAAACAUGAAAAAAUAAAGUAAAGCUAAAAUCAAAAAGACUUUUUUAAUUAUUUAAAAUUGCAUUAGCUAAAUUAACACCGCGAAAAUAGAAGUGUCAUAAAUGUACCUUGUCUAAGCCAAAACCUUGGAAACCUGAUGCUGAUAUAUCACCACGAAGCCACCUGGAGAAGGAGCAGAAGAUGCAUCACAGUAGCCUCUUAGUAUAUUUCCUUUUUCGGCAGUGAAUCCGAAAGAAGUGAGCAUUGCAGGCCAGCAAUUACGGGUGAUGAUAUCAAUAGCGUGGCAACAGUCAAGGCCAAUAUCAUCCUGGCUAUUAAGGAAGAAUAUAACAAUCUCAUUUGAGCAUGAUUUCAUCUCCAUUAACGUGUUCCAGCACUCCAUUAGGCCUCCGCUAGCUUCAAGUCUUGUUGCAAGAUCGUAGCCUAGUUUCAUAUUGUUGUUGAGGCGAUCAUUCCUGCUGGUUGCAUUUGCAAUAUUUGCCAUGAUCAGGCAAGUGAGGGCCAAAAUGAAAAACACAUGUUUUAGAACCAUUGCUAUUUUCUGUUCUUUUAUGUUGUGUUUAUGUUUACGUGGGAUAUCAUAUUUUUUUUGUUGCUAUUUAUAAAUUAAGGUGAGGCAAAGGAGAAGAGUCAUUAAAAAUGUUCAUGAAUUAUUGCUUAAUUUAUGAUCAAGAAGGUUUCAAUUAGAGAAGAUAGUGGGUCUUUUGAUGAAUUGUUACAUAUUGAUUGUGUAAUAACAGUCAAAAUAAUUAUGAGAAGAUGAAAAGCCAAAUGUGAAAGAAAAUUUCUCUAUUUGUUAGAUAAUAGAGAAUAUAUAAAAAUGAGAAAUUGUGAUGCCAUAUCACCUCUUGUAGUCCCAACUUUAUAUAAAUAUAUAGAUAGAUAGAUAGAUACUGUAUGUGGUGAUAAUCUACUAAAUUUUAUAAUUUCUUAUUGUCCUUGAUUUUUGGCUUGGGCAUGAAGAGAACUAGCUUUCAGCAAGGACUUUCUAGUUACAUAGAGAAUUUUCGACACGAUAAAUCCCUUCUAAAUGAUGUAAUUUGUACAUCAACUCAAUCAAGGUCACUUCCACCAUGCUUGUGUUGUAAUUGACUUCGAAAUUUAUUUAUUGAAUGUGUCGAGUAAAAUUCUAGCACCAACGCAAUCUUUAUGUUAUCAUCAAUUUCGCCAUCAAGGAUAUCAAACUAAUUCAAAUAUCAUAUCGUUUUGAGAACACGAUCAAAAAAUAUUUUCCCCUUACCCAUCUCGCCAUACGAUUAUUUUGCCCAAAUAUUUGUUAGACUGCGUGUCUAUGUUUUUCAUGGUUGUCGCCAUGGUCUGAUGUUUUGUCUACACUUAAUAUCUUAGAAAUCAAGGUCAAAUUGAAGCGUUAGACCAUUUCAUUUGCUUUCUGCCGUUUUUCAUAAGCCUCGUAUGAUUAAUUUCUACAAACAUUAAAUGACAGCUGUGGUUAAAAGUUAAAACAUAUAUUUAUAAUCUUUAGUAAUGAGAACAUUAAAUAAAGAGUAAAUGAUAUGGCAAUUGGUGUUGUGAAAUCAUCCCAUUUAUUAUUAAACACAAGAUAAUAAUUGAUUAGUGACACGUCUUUUAAAAUAAAAAUUUUAAAUUCUAACUUUGUAAGUAUAUUAAUACACUUAAAUAAAUUAUGUUUCCUAUCUAUGUAUACAUAUAUAAUUCUUGUCAUAUUUGUCUUGAUCUCAAUACAUUUUUCAAAAAAAAAAAAUUAAUACCACUCUAGGGAAGUUGUAUUUUAUACUCUCAUGUAAAAUAUGGUAUAUCUGUCUAAAUGCUAAUGGAGGUAUAUCCGUCUCAAACAUACACAUUUUAGGUAUAUGUUUGAAUGUCAUCUUUAGUGGUAUGUAAACUUUCAAGCUAUACCUGACAGAUCUUUGGAUUAUACUAAAUAUUGAGCAUGAAGAAUUCAUAGAAAUAAAUUCAAAAAAGAAUAUAUGAUUUUUUUUAUUAUUAUUAUUGUUGUUGUUGUUGUUGUUGUUUAUUUCGAGUCUAAUGUAUUAUUGUGAACUAUUUUUUCAAUUGAUGAUGCUCUAGUUUUAACGGUCUAAAGAUUGAAGUGAAUCUAAUGUUGGAUUUAUACGUGAAUAAUUAUGUUUUAUAAAUUGUCUUAUAAAAUUAAGUCCAAUUAAAAGUGAUUUAUUAAAAUUUUUUAUAAUCUAGACUUUAUUGUAUCUAAUAGAGUGUGAGCCUUUAAUGUAUACAGAUUUAAGAGUAAUUUCUAUUUUUUACGAUGGAUUAAAAUAACAAUAUCUAAUGAUAAUAGGAACGUUAUACAUAUAAUUGGUUAUAGUCCUCAUAUUACAUGUAGACAUUCUAUUCUUUUCUAACAUUCCAUCAUCAUAGAGAGUGCACAGAGAAAAUUGAGGAAUUCUUUUAGAUAACGUAUUGAUCUGAAAGACAAACCACAUAACUCUAUAAAAUAACUAAGUAUUAUGAAUUUAAGUACGUUUUUACCUAUUCAUUUAUUAUUUUUUGGUAAUACAACAUGAAUAUUUCUAAGGACUUAAGUGAUGGUUUAAAAAAAAAACUAAUAAGUAGUAUGAGCAAUGAUAACAGAAAUCUCUCCUCGUUGAUUUUUGAAGAAAAACUUAUUUUCCUGUCUCGUGCAGUAGCAUGCGUGGAAUAAUGUCACCUAAUUAAUAACGGAAAACGGGACCAAAUGGGGCCCAUGAAUGAAAAAAAAUUCAAAAGAUAGAGGCUAAUCCAAGCAUACUCUUCUACAAUUUGCAUAUAUAAAACCACAUGCACAUGCAUAUAGUGAUACCAAAUCGCUAUAAAAAAAAUAAAAACUUUUUUUUCCACUUCUUUACAGAAAUUGCACGAAUUUACAAGUUUCUAGAAUGUCAAGAUAUUAAUGAUUAAGAAUAAUCUAAUGAUUACCAACCUCCCUAAUUAAGCUAAUACUUAAAGCUCGGAUUUUCUUGUUUCAGUACUGCAGAGAGAUUUCAAACCUUUUUCAUUUUGCCGCAUCCCAUACUCCAAGAGGAUGAAUGUCUAAAAUUUAAUAUUAAUUAAAUUCUUAAAUGGCUUCAUCAUGACAAUUAGUAUGCUAAUGCCGAAUCAAACAUAUGCACCAAUGCCUGCACCAAAUAUUAUAUUUAUUCAGCUCGCAGCACGAGUACUAAUAAUUAUUUUAUAACUGAACUCAGCAACAUACAUUACUUAAUUUUUCAGAUUAUCUCUUAUCCAUCCAGAGUGUGAAAAAGAUUAAUUAAUUAUGAUAACGAGUGGGACACCCAUUAAACAUACAAGUGGGAUGAAGGGAAAUUUUAGGUGAAGAAAAGCUUAAUGCUGAACAACAGCAGGAGCACUACAUAUAUACCAUCACAUGGAUGAUAAAAAAUGGAGGACAGCAGAAGCACACUAACUUAUAGGCAUGUAGUGUAACUAUUCAACCACUUUGUGGGGGAACCCUUCAUGCGCCCCUCAAUAGAAGUCCCCUUUUGAAAUAAAAAGUACACUGCACACUCUGCAGCAAACGCGCUUUUGGACCCCAUUCCCAUUCCUAUAAAUACCCAUCUUGCCUUGCAUAUCAAAACCAUCAUCCUUCGUCGUGGGACUUGAAAACAUAGUAACAUAUAUACAUUCUCAUGGCUACCCACAAGUUUGCUAGUGCUGUUUUCUUCGUGUUACUAGGUUUAGGUUUAACUUGUGCUGCAAGAAACCUCUAUUCUCUUGAAGAAGAAGUUACCCACACUGUAACAACUGGACAUGGCGUUGGAGCAGGUGCUGGUGUUGGUGUUGUUGUAGGCCUCGGUGGUGGUGGGGGCGGCGGUGGCGGCUCUGGUGGAGGUGGUGGAUAUGGAGCUGCGGGGGACCAUGGUGCUGCUGGAUAUGGAGGCGGAGCUGGCGGUGGAGAAGGCGGUGGUGCUGGCUAUGGAGGUUUAGCUGGACACGGUGGUGGUGGAGGAGGCGGCAAUGGGGGUGGCGGCGGCGGCGGAAGUGCUGGUGAAGCUGCUGGAUAUGGAAGCGGUGGUGGUGCUGGUGAUGGAUACGGUGGAGAACAUGGGGCUGGAUAUGGUGGCGGCGGUGGUGGUGGAAGUGGUGGUGGUGGAGGUGCUGCCGCUGGUGGUGCUGGAUACGGUGGUGGUGGUGGUGAAGGAAAAGGUGCAGGAGGCGGGUAUGGUGCUGGUGGUGCUGGAGGAGGAGGUGGUGGAAGCGGGGGAGGAGGUGGCGGCGGUUAUGGUGCCGGAGGAGCACAUGGAGGUGGUUACGGUGGUGGUGGAGGAUCAGGAGGGGGUUAUGGUGGUGGAGCUGGUGCUGCUGGGGGAGGCGGCGGCGGGGGCGGUUCUGGUGGCGGCGGCGGAGGAGGAUAUGGUGCAGGAGGUGCACACGGGGGUGGAUAUGGUGCCGGAGGAGGUGAAGGCGGUGGGCAUGGUGGUGGCUAUGCACCUUGAGAAUAUCUUCUCAUCUCUACUGCACUCACUACCACCUAAUUUACUCUAAUAUUAAGAAAAAUAAGAUUAUUAUGAUUUAUGGGCCAAAAAAACCAAAAAAGAAAAAAAAAAAAUUCAUAUCACGUAAUGUAAGAAGCUAUGGAUGCCAACUGAAUGCUGCCAGAAGUUGUAUCAUAUGAUAUUAAUAUCAAAGUUCAGCUGGUUCCUAGCUAUUCAGCUGGUUGCUAGCUAGCUAUUUGUGAGUUUCUUAUUCGGAUAUUCCGUGUGAAGAACAUGGAAAAGAAUAAAAUUAGACCAGUGAGUUGUGCUCAAAUAAGAAUCGCCACAAUAUUUCAGAUGUUUAUAUUUAAUAUGAGACUACAUAAUUAUAAUUAUAUUUAUAUUUGCCUUCAUUUCCGUCGAGGUUUACCCAAAAAAAAAAGAAAAAAAGAAAAUUGCUUUGUAUCUCUCUUCUUAGUUCAUCAAAAGUUAAGCUGUGUUGUAUUUGAUUUAUGUCCAUGAAUAUAUAGGAGGGUUCUGUGGCUUCAUAUCAGUCCCUAAGACAAAAUUGUGAAUGCAAUUAACCACAUCAUAUUAAUUGAAGAAAGUCUUUGGGAAUACUUCUUUACGCAAUUUCUUAAUUAUGAUGGGCAUAUAUUAACG